UGUCCGCCCAAGGUUCAACAACAGGAAUGUGUACAAGAAUUUAUCCAGAAAAUUUAAAUUCUAAACAUACACAUUCAACGGGGCACAAGCAGUGCCAACAACUAAGAGCAAGUAAUCUACAAGUAAAAACAAGUGAAAUAAAGAGAGUACUUUACUAACUAUUGCAAUAGUUUUGCACCUUUUUUACAUGUACAUCUUUUCCUCAAAAUGAAUACAUAUGUUCAUUCACAAUACAUAGCUCUCCAAAUCCUCACCUACAUGAAUCUCUCUCAAUACAUAGGUGUGCUAAUGCAAAAAUGAAAGCUACUAUACUACCACGGUCUCACUAAUUGGGCGCGAUGCCCUUGUCGCGGUCCUCGCUCGGUAAACCUAUACCUACCACUGGAAAUAGAGUAGGGUGAGAACUAUCUUCCAUAGUUUCCAGUGGGCUCGACCGCCGACUCCGCCGGUCUCCCCAUUAGGUCCAAGUGGGCACAAAUAACAACAAAUAGAUAGAUAGAUAUCUGAAAGCUGUAAAGGCAUAAAGGAAGACUAUGCUACUAUGCCCAUAAUCAUGUAUAAUGAAUGCAUGCGUCAUAUAAUAAAGGUUUACUAUCAUGCUAAAAAAUUCGAUCCAUGUUCGAAUAUUAAUGUUCAAUGACAUUGUUAACUGUUCAUUUACCCAAUCUGUGGCGAAGCCCUUGGGUUCGUCCUCGACUCACCUUGUCAUCCCAUUGGGUGGGGAGCUCCAUGUGCUCCCAGACCUGGGACCGUCUGCGGACCUCCAUGUGGUCCUAAUUGCCCGACACUCCGGAGUACUCGACGACAAUCCUCUCCAUGUGAGGAUAUGGAUGGCUAUACUACCCCGAAUAACAGACUGUGAGCUAGAUCUAUCCUCUCCAAGUGAGGACACCCUAAGAGCUAGGGUCAACAUCUCGCGGAACUCGUCUAUUCCGACCAUCAUGCAUAGCUACUUAGCUUUACUAAGUUCGAUGUUCACGAGUCAUUUACUAGGGAGUCCAUCUAUCCCUGAGUUCACAAAGAACUUCUAGUGUCAAGUACACUGCAUUAAUGCCACUCGUUUGUUCUUUAAACAUUAUAUGCCACCCGUUUUUUCUUUAAACAUUAGAUGUUACUUUCUAUGUCACCAAACACCCAUCGUGUUCAUCUCUUUUCUCUAGCACUAUAGGAUCCAUGUUCCGACCCAAUUCUCACCUAUCUAAGUCACCAAGCGUUCCAUGUACACUAGGUUAUCAAUUAGAAAGCAUAAGGCAUGGCACUACUAUGCAAUCCUACAAUGCAACAUGCAAGAGAUGUAAUCAUAUGAAAUUCUAAGACAUAGAAAGGAGUUCGAUGACUUCGGGAUGGCACCCCCCACCUUUUCUCGUUGUAGAGGUUCUAGAAAUGCCUCUCGCUGAACGUUACGACGAGGUCUCGGCUUUCUUGGUUCAAAACAAUGCUCAAUCGGCCUUAUUUUGCCGAUAGAUUUUCUCCCGCUUGACGAAUCGAAAUUCCGACUUCGCCCCCGCGUUUAGACACCUAACAAUUAGGUUUACAAGGCCUCAAGUGAGAUCAAUCUCAUACUUUACCAAAAAUCUCAUUUUGGAGUCCUAGGGUUAGCAUCAUGCCAUUUGCACCAUGAAACCCUAGCCUCUAGCUCUAAUCCACUAACAAUGGUGCUAGAAGUCCAUUUGACCUCAUCUCAAAGCUCAAAACCCAAAAACCCUAAGUUCUAUAAGCUAGGGUUUGUAGCUUACCUCUUGAGCUACACCAAUGGAGAGGAGAUGAAGAAAGGAAGAUGCUCCAAGCCUUCUCUAGCUUGAUCUCCUACUUCUUCUUCUUCUUCUCCUCCUUCUUCUUCUUCUCUUCCUUCUUCUUCUUCUCUUUUGUUCUUUCUUUUCCAGAGAGAGAGAGGGAGCAAGAGAGAGUGUGAGAGAGAGAGGGGGCCUACAUACCCCUCUAUUGUAACAAAAUCCAUUUUAGCCCCAACUUUUCACGCUGUACACAGCCCUCACUGGGCAUUCUGCGCCCAGAGGGACCGGUCCCUCUUCGGGGAGACCGGUCCCCGAGAGCAGUCCUGGCGGCCAGAAGACCUCUUUGCGUUCGGAAACCUGUGACACCCCAAUAAUCCCACAUCGGAUGAGAAUGGGAUUGUCAUUGGGUUUAUAAGAGACUUAGACAUUAGUAAUAAUAACUGGACUUAAGCAUUUUGGGCCGGUGGUUGGGUCUAACGAGUUAUUGUUGCUAGUGGGCUGGGUCGUUACAUUUGGUAUCAGAGCCGGUUCACCAGCUGGACAUGUGUGGCGAGUCUCGGCUGAGCCAGGGUUUGGAUGAUGGGCUAGCGAGACGAGUCUCACAUCGCCUGGUGAUCUUGGGCUGUGUGUGUGAUUGGACUGACGAGGACGUCGGGUCCUUAAUGGUGGGAGUUUGUGACACUCCAAUAAUCCCACAUCGGAUGAGAAUGGGGUUGUCAUUGGGUUUAUAAGAGACUUAGACACUAGUAAUAAUAACUGGACUUAAGCAUUUUGGGCUGGUUGUUGGGUCCAAUGAGUUAUUGUUGCUAGUGGGCUGGGUCGUUACAAAAUCACUUCAGCAAAAAAAUUUGCCAAACAGCUUUCUAAAAUCACUUUAGCACAAUCACUUUUCUAUCAAACUCAGCCAAACGCUCUACAGCUUUUAACAGAAAUCAUUUUUCCAAACUAAAAUCACUUCUGCAGAAAUCACUUUUCUAGAAGCUAGGCCAAACGGGCCCCAGUAACAUCUAUAGUAGUGAAAAGUUAGGUAACUAACCUUUCAAAGCUCCAACUUAGUUACUUCCUGAGUUAGGGUUGAAGAUCCACCCUCAAAAUCCUCUCUUCCUCACUUCAAUAUCUCCUCCAAGUACCUCUAAACUAGCUAGCAUAGGGAGAAGAAAAGAAAAGAGCUUAAAUCCAUCAAUUUCCACUCAAAAAAUGGAAAUAGAAUCUAGAGAGAGAAAGAAGGGAGCUUACCCUAUUUUCCUCCAAGCUACAGCAUAAGAAAGACCAGCUAGGUCGGUUUGGGGGCUUUAAGAGGAUAAACAUCACUGCAAAAUGACCAAAAAUUUCUUUACCAACUCACUCUGCCGCAUUGAGUACCGAUACUCGGGUUGAGGUACUGGUACCCAGCAAUAAAACAGCUAAAACCCGAGCUCUGCGCAGCUGGGCUUAAUAUAGGGUACCGGUACCCGCGCAAUGCAAUAUUGGUACUCAGCUCCAGCUUCUCAAACCGAGAGCUACACAUCUGGCAUCCCUCUGAGGUACCGGUACCACACCCAGGUACCGGUACUCAACACUCAAACCUGAUAUUUCCAGGUUUUAGUGUCAGUAUCUCAUCCUGGUACUUAAAACAUUUAAGUUAAAUGCCGGGACACUCUCAAAGCCUCUAGAGCAGCUCCACUUACUGUUCUAAUACUAGAACCUUACAAUUUACUAAAGUUCAGUGUACUACAAAUAAAUAAAUAAAUAAAUAAAUAGUAGCAAAAAAAAAGAGUCAAGGAAUUAUAUAUAAAAAAGAAGCAACUAAAAAAUAAGCAAUUAUUGCUGCAAUAAAAAUAUAAGAAUAAAUUAUAAGAAGGAUUAAAAAAAUUAGGGCAAAAAUCAAAUGAAUAAUAAAUGAUAUUUAUAGUAGCAAUAAACGUUGAGGACUGAAAUAAUAUAUCUUAUAUUUUAAGUCAAAAAUUGCAACUAAUUAAAGUUUGAGCAUGAAAGUAUCACAUGCCUCGUAGUUUAAAUCAUAACAUAUUACAGUUCGGAGAUUAAAGUGUCACUUGUCUUAUAGUUUUAAGGAUUAAAAGUGUUUAUCCAAUCUUCCAAAAUUUUGUUUUGAUUAUUCAAUUUUUCGAUAUAUUAGAUUUGAGUAAGUUAAUGAUACUUAAAUUUUAAAAAUCUAAAUGCAUAACUUAGAUUUACAGAUUUAGUUAGUAUAUUUUAUACGAUUCUCACAACUAAAUUUUAUAAAAUAUAAAAUUAAUUUAAACUCCAUCAAAUUUUUUUAAAAUUUUUUAAUGUACAAUCUAUAUCUAAAUGCUCAAUAGUAUAAAAUUAAAAUUUAUAUUCAAUACAAACAGCCUAAAAUAUUUAAAAAUUAUUUAUAUAUUUUAAAUAGGGGCAAUUGCCUAUAUACCCCUGAAAAGUUUUCAGUUUUCUUAUUUACCCCUCUUAGAAGGCUAAUAUUGAAAAUACCCUUCUUGUGUUUCAAGUUUUUCUAAAAUACCCCUAGAGUUAAGUUCCGUUAGUGAGCUGCCGUUAUCUCUGAAAAAUUACCAUUUUACCCAUUCCAAUAUACUCUUGUACCGUAACAAACUUUUCUUAUAUACUCUUCAUAUAGCAAAUACUUUUCUUAUUUGCCCUUCGUCCGGAUCCGGAGCGGAGGGCGUGCAGGGGUCCGAUGGCGUUGCGGCCCUCUUGCUCCCGGCGCCGGCCAAGGCAGCGGAGGAGGAGGAGGACGACGAGAGUGGCGAGAGAUGGGAUUGUCGCUGCGGCCCUCUUGCUCCCGACGUCGGCCAAGGCGGCGUAGGAGGAAGAUGACGGCGACGAGAGCGGCGGCGGAGGAGGAGGAGGACGACGAGAGUGGCGAGAGAUGGGAUCGUCGCUGCGGCCCUCUUGCUCCCGGCGCCGGCCAAGGCGGCGUAGGAGGAAGAUGACGGUGACGAGAGCGGCGGCGGAGGAGGAUGACGAGAGCGACGAGAGUGGUGGUGCUGGAGGUGGAGGUGUGGGAGGUGGUGGUGGUUUAGGAAGAGAUGAGGCGAGGUGGAGGCGGAGGAGCCGGCCGGUGGUGGCGACCAAGUUAGGAAAGAAAGAGAGGAUAACCUUAGGGAUUAGUAUAAUAAGGUAGGGGCAAAAUAGGUAUUUUAUUUAGGUUUUAACUCUGGUAUACAUUUAAUCCAUGUUUAACCCGAGUUAAACUAACAGGGGAUAACUGUGGGGGUAUUUUGGAAUAACGGUGGAACAUAUGAGGGGUAUUUUAGAAAGAAAAAAAAAAUAGGGGUAGAUCGGAUAUUUCCGAACGCAUGAAGGGUAUAUAGGCAAUUAUCCCUUUUAAAUAUUUAUAGUAAAAAAUAAAAAAGUUAGAUUGUGAGUAAAAAAAAUUAUAAAUCUUUUUCUCAUAUAUAAAAAAAAAUUGAAGAGAAAGGAAAAAAAAAAUAAAAACACCCUCCUUUUUCCCCGGCCGGGCUCCACCAGCAUGGGGCCCACCUUACACNGCAAUUGCCUAUAUACCCCUGAAAAGUUUUCGGUUUUCUUAUUUACCCCUCUUAGAAGGCUAAUAUUGAAAAUACCCCUCUUGUGUUCCAAGUUUUUCUAAAAUAUCCCUGGAGUUAAGUUCCGUUAGUGAGCUGCUGUUAUCUCUGAAAAAUUACCAUUUUUCCCAUUCCAAUAUACCCUUGUACCGUAACAAACUUUUCUUAUAUACCCUUCAUAUAGCAAAUACUUUUCUUAUUUGCCCUUCAGCUGGAUCCGGAGCGGAGGGCGUGUAGGGGUCCGAUGGGGCUGCGGUCCUCUUGCUCCCGGCGCCGGCCAAGGCAGCGGAGGAGGAGGAGGAUGACGAGAGCGGCGAGAGAUGGGAUAGUCGCUGCUGCCCUCUUGCUCCCGGCGCCGGCCAAGGUGGCGUAGGAGGAAGAUGACGGCGACGAGAGCGGCGGCGGAGGAGGACGACGAGAGAGACGAGAGUGGUGGUGUUGGAGGUGGAGGUGUGGGAGAUGGUGGUGGUUUAGGAAGAGAUGAGGCGAGGUGGAGGCGGAGGAGCCGGCCGGUGGUGGCGGAGGAGCCGGCCGGUGGUGGCGACCAAGUUGGGAAAGAAAGAGAGGAUAACCUUAGGGAUUAGUAUAAUAAGGUAGGGGCAAAAUAGGUAUUUUGUUUAGGUUUUAACUCUAGUAUACAUUUAGUCCAUGUUAACCCGAGUUAAACUAACAGGGGAUAACUGCGGGGGUAUUUUGGAAUAACGGUGGAACAUAUGAGGGGUAUUUUAGAAAGGAAAAAAAAGUAGGGGUAGAUCGGAUAUUUCCGAACGCAUGAAGGGUAUAUAGGCAAUUAUCCCUUUUAAUAUUUAUAGUAAAAACUAAAAAAGUUAGAUUGUGAGUAAAAAAAAUUAUAAAUCCUUUUCUCAUAUAUAGAAAAAAAUUGAAGAGAAAGGAAAAAAAAAAUAAAAACACCCUCCCCUCUCCCCGGCCGGGCUCCACCAGCAUGGGGCCCACCUUACAUGCUUGAGUCUGCUCGUGUCCGCGCCUGCUCGUGUCCGUGCGCACGGCGCGCCCGCGCCCGCCUGCCCCCGCGCGCGCCUCGGGUGAGCCCCGCUCCUGCCCCCACGCCCGCCGCCGUUCGCACCGGCUCGCGCCCUCUCCCGCUCGCGUGUUCGCCCCUCGCUGUCACCUGUAAUCUAAACUGGGGAUUCAUAUAUUUAUAGAUUGAUAGUAUAUUGUACAAUUAUAUAAUAUUGCAUAAUUUUUAUACUAAAAUAGUAGAUUAUGUACAAAUAAUAUAAUAUAUUAUAGCAUAUAUUAUAAAAUAAUACAAUAUGUGUAUAAACGCUGCAUAUAUUGUACUAUUAAAUAAAUAUUAUACUAUUUAGAAUGGAAUUGCUUCACAAUUGGAAAAGAAGUUAGAUUAUUUGAGAGGAUAUACACUCUUUAUCUUAUUAAUUAUACUUUAUUUUUUUUAUUUUGUUUUAAAUAAGUUGUCUUUUUUAAGAAAUUUAAUAUUUUAUUAAAUAUACGAUAUUCAGGUUAAUUUUUUAAAAAUCUAAAAGGACAAUCUAUUAUUAUAAACUUUUAAAAUUAAUAAAUUUUUUAUACAAAUUGAUCAAAAUAUUUUAUACCCCGCAUGGCGGGCUUAGGUCUCCCAUAGCAGGCCGUUCACUGGUAAACCCAUAACAAACCCCGCGUCAAACGAAGGCCAUAUAGGCCUAAAACCCGAGCGCGACCCAAGCUGACGAAAGCAUGGCGGCCGUAGCGGCUGGGCCACUACGGCACUACCCAGUACCCUGGUUGCAGUUCCCAUCCCUCCUGACCCUCUCCUUCACACCCCGCCCCAUCUUCUUCUCCUCCUCCCGAGCCCGCGUCCUGAGACCUAGCGGCCCUCUGACGGCCGAAGACGACCCGGCCGACGAUGACGACGCUGCCGCCGUCUCGGCCGGCGCUCCAGUCAAGAAGAGUCGCAACGAGCUCAAGCGGGAGGCCCGCCGCGCCGUCCGCUGGGGGAUGGAGCUCGCCAACUUCUCCCUCCCGCAGAUCCAGCGGGUCCUUAGGUAAGUACUCAAACUCGCUUUACUUUGUUGCUGUCGUAGGAGCUCGCUGUUGCCAUCUUCAAAUGAUUGUUUGUUUCCAUUGCUCUUCUGAUUCUUGGUGUUGAUAGAGUUGCUUCCCUUGAGCGCGAAGUGUUCGAAGCCCUAACGCUAGUGAAGGUACAUUGNGCCCGCCUGCCCUCGCGUGCGCCUCGCGUGAGCCCCGCUCCUGCCCCCGCGCCCGUCGGUGUUCGCGCCGGCUCGCGCCCUCGCACGCUCGCGUGUUCACCCCUCGCUGUCACCUGUAAUCUAAACUGGGGAUUCAUAUAUUUAUAGAUUGGUAGUAUAAUAUUUGUACAAUUUAUAUAAUAUUGCAUAAUUUUUAUACUAAAAUAGUAGAUUAUGUACAAAUAGUAUAAUAUAUUAUAGCAUAUAUUAUAAAAUGACGCACUGCAUAUAUUGUACUAUUAAAUAAAUAUUAUACUAUUUAGAAUGGAAUUGCUUCACAAUUGGAAAAGAAGUUAGAUUAUUUGAGAGGAUAUACACUCUUUAUCUUAUUAAUUAUACUUUAUUUUUUUAUUUUGUUUUAUAUAAGUUGUCUUUUUUAAGAAAUUUAAUAUUUUAUUAAAUGUACGAUAUUCUGGUUAAUUUUUUGAAAAUCUAAAAGGACAAUCUAUUAUUAUAAAAUUUUAAAAUUAAUAAAUUUUUUAUACAAAUUGAUCAAAAUAUUUUAUACCCCGCAUAGCGGGCUUAGGUCCCCCAUAGCAGGCCGUUCACUGGUAAACCCAUAACAAACCCCGCGUCAAACGAAGGCCAUAUAGGCCUAAAACCCGAGAGCGACCCAAGCCGACGAAAGCAUGGCGGCCGUAGCGGCUGGGCCACUGCGGCACUACCCAGUACCCUGGUUGCAGUUCCCAUCCCUCCUGACCCUCUCCUUCACGCCCCGCCCCAUCUUCUUCUCCUCCUCCCGAGCCCGCGUCCUGAGACCUAGCGGCCCUCUGACGGCCGAAGACGACCCGGCCGACGAUGAAGACGCUGCCGCCGUCUCGGCCGGCGCUCCAGUCAAGAAGAGUCGCAACGAGCUCAAGCGGGAGGCCCGCCGCGCCGUCCGCUGGGGGAUGGAGCUCGCCAACUUCUCCCUCCCGCAGAUCCAGCGGGUCCUCAGGUAAGUACUCAAACUCGCUUUACUUUAUUGCUGUCGUAGGAGCUCGCUGUUGCCAUCUUCAAAUGAUUGUUUGUUUCCAUUGCUCUUCUGAUUCUUGGUGUUGAUAGAGUUGCUUCCCUUGAGCGCGAAGUGUUCGAAGCCCUAACGCUAGUGAAGGUACAUUGGUUUUCAUUCUCUGUGCGAAGAUUAAUUCUUUUCGAGUGGUUCACACGGUUUAGACGAAGAAAUAUUUUGUUUUCUUGGCAGAGAUUGGGACCGGAUGUCCGGGAGGGGAGAAGGAGACAAUUUAAUUAUAUCGGUAUGUUGUUUCUAACUGGGCGGGUCUAUAGCUUUAUAUAAACAAUUCCACUAUGCAGGGAAGCACUAUACUUGGUGUUGUGAGAGCAAAGCUGUUUAAGAAUGACGUACAUCUAUCUCAUGUGAAGUACUAAAUUGCAAACCCUGUCUAAGAAAAACAUCCUUUUUGGGCUAAACUGCCAGGAUUGUGAAUUUAUCCGGCACAAAACAAAAAUAAAAAUGCAGCGGAAAAAUAAUAUUGCACUUUUAAAUUUGUCUGGAAAUCAAAAUCUAUAUCACAUAUGAAAAAAUCGAAAAACAAAAAUCAAUCCAGUACCCACGGAUUAUUCUCAUGUUACAUUCUAAAAAAUAAUUUAAACUAAACAGAUCUAAUGUUUAGAUUAGAACACCUUGGAUCAGUUAAGGUCUCUUGAUCUAUUGUACGCUUGAAACUGAAUACGACGAAUUAAGGUUCCGAUGUAGUUGCGCACGUGCCUGGCCUCGACGCGUAUCCACAUGGAAUCGAUGCAGUUCCAAUAUUUUCCAUUGCACGGAACAGAUGAGCCGUAGACUAUAAGGAUGGUGCUCGCAGUCCAUCUGAUGUCUACGUUUCUUCCGAUGAGACACUUAGAACUUCACAAAAAAUAAUGUCGAGAUAGCUUGAAUUACCCCCAAUUUUUCUUCACGCGGCCAACCUUUUUAUUUUUUCUUCUUUUAUUGUGCCGUAUGGCCGUCAGGGUCCUUUUUAGUAGUCAACGGCUCUGACUUUGUCAAUAACAUUGAGUUUGUAAAGAGUCUGUAAAUAUUGUGUCGGGCACGACGUCGACAUAGGAUUUUCCUUGUUUGGGAUGGACAUUGCUUGUAAAUUGGCAUCCGGUUGGCUACUCGCGGGUUCUCUUGUACUACGCAUCCAAGGGGACAUAGGUAUUUCGCUAACGAUGGCCGCUUAUUCGACGGAUUGAGCCGGACGCGUGUCGGACAUAAGUUGGCGGCCUAUUUUUCCAUGGGUGUGCGGAGUGGGAAAAACGUACCCCUCGGUGAGCACCUUUGUACCCCCGGGGUGCCAAAUAGGUGGAUGCCAAUAUGGGGUAGUACGGGAAGGUUGGGUGAGACGUAUUAAGUGAGCCCGCUUCGCUAAAUGCGUAGUGUCUUGGAUUCCUUUACGUGUUUGCUCUCAAUUCUCGGUCGUUGUCAAUUUGCGAAGUUGUGCCUCAGGACGGUUUGGCUGGUUUUUUUGUGCAGGUGACAGACGAGGGCCGUGCGGGCUUUUCGACAAAAAGUCAUUAGACCCGUGACAAGUGGUAUCAAAGCCCGGAUCGACGGAGACGACAUGGGCCGGAGCAAAGCCCCUGUCGUAGAGACAAGUACGGUGGCGCAACCAUCGACAACGCAGCAUGUGGAGCCGGCGGAUAACGAAGGACAAGGCAAAUCAAAUAGGCACAUGAGCAAUCGGGAAUGACUUGUUGACUUGGAAGCCCAGCUUAAUCGACUCGACGAGAAAGCGACAAAGGUGGCCGCGCAUAAGGUGUCACGCCUCGAGACCGCUACCAAUUUGGUACGGUUCGGGCGCGUCGAAUAGACGUCGGACGGACAGCACCUCCCCUGUCCGCCCAAGGCUCAAGAUUGUGUACAACAAGCGCCCAGAAAAAUAACUUGAAAUACAUACACAAUCAACAACAACAGCGAGAGCACCACCAGUGCUAAACAAGUAAGAGCAAGCAUCACAAGCAUACACGAGUGAACAAAAGAGAGAUACUAACUGUUACAUCACAUUCAACAUUUAAUACAUUUGAUUGCUUUUCAUUCUUCCAAAAAUGCCUCACAACCUAUACAUCAUCUACUCUCAAGUACAUAUGGUAGCUUUAAUGCAAAAGGGAAGGAAAGCUACUACACUAGGGUGCGAUGCCCUUACCAUGAUCUUCGCCCGACGCACUCGAGCUCGGUCUUGCAACAAAGUGGGGUGAGAACUAUUGUCCAUAGUUCCCAGUGGGUUCGGGUGCCGACUCUGCCGAUCUUCCCACUAGGUCUAAGCAGGUAUAGGCAGAUAGAUAGAUAGAUAGAUAAGUAUAGAAGCAACAAUGGCAUAGUAAGAAAGUAUGCAAGUAACCUACGAUGCCUCAAUCCGCUAUAAUGAUGCAUGCACUACAUAGUAAAAGACUAGCUAUCGUGCUACUAUGUUCAACGACAAUGCUAUUCAUUAGAUCACCCAAUCACUCGGCUGGCCCGAAGGCUCGCCCUUAACUCACGUCUCAAUCCCAUAAGUGAGGAGUCCCAAGCCGCUCGACUCACCCGAGACCGCCUGCGGACAGCUAGCUACUGCUCUCUCGUGUGAUUAAACCUCCGGAGUGCACGGCUUGUGUGGAGCGACCAUGACAAGCAUAUAACAGGCUAUAUGAGCACGAUCCAAUCCUCGUCAAUCGAGGAUACCCUACCAACUAGGGUAACAUCAUCAUGGAAAUCCAAGUAUCCCUAUACUCAACAUGGUAGUGUUUCGACUACACUAAGUUCUUAUGCCACACGUUCUUGUAUUCAACAUUAACUAGAUGCCACUCGUUCUUGUUCAAGUGUUUCCAAUACACUAAUCUACACAUCACUAGGUUGUCAUUCACCUAGGGUCAAAUCCACCAUUUAUCAUCUCAUUAUAGAUGCAAGAAUAUGUAACAACCAUCUAAGCACCCUAUAAUGCAAGAUCUCGAUAUGCACGUUUAGUCAACAACGAAACUUAGACAUAGGGAGCAGUUCAACUGCUUCGGGAUGACGCCACCCACCUCUAAGUGAUGUAGCGAGGUUGGGGAUUUGAUUUCGUGAUCUGGAGUCGCCGCCUCGACCUUUCGGGGGGAAACGAAGCCGAAACGCCCUCCGCUUGGCGAUAUCUCCGCACCGGCUCGACGAAUCGCCGAACCGCCGCCGCCAAUGUGUUCACACACCUAGUAAUUAGAUUUAUAUAUAACCAAUUUAGAUCAAAACCCAUUAUUUUCCAAAACCCCCAUCGGAGCCCUAGGUUGCAACUAGCGCAUUAACACACCAACAAAACCCUAGAUUCAUGCUAGAAUCCUCUUACUAGACUCCUAGGGUUAACCCAAAACGAAUUCUAGAGCAUAAAACCCCUACCCUAGAAAUCCACCAUUAAAGAGGUUAGAGCUUAUCUCAAAAGCUUCCUCCAAGCUUGAAGAAGAAGAAGAAGAAGAUGCCUAUCCUUCUCCUUGCUUCAAUCUCCCACCAAUACUCCUCCUUUCCCACCUUGUAGAGAGAGAGAGAAAGAGAGUUCUAGAGAGAGAGAGGGAAACUAUGAGGGUUAGGUUGAGAAGUGAGGGAAGAGAGAAAGAAACACCCCCCACUUAACCCCACACAUGCAUAAUUGCUGAAAACCCCCUUAACUUUGCCAUUAUGUGACUGUAAGGAAGUGAAUUCUCGAAAUACGAGGAUUGUACUUCAUCCAGGAUCGACUAAUUGUCGAAAGUAUACCCUUUGUGGGAGUUGAGAAUGUCCAAAGCACAAAAAGUGCCUUGGAGUUGAGUCCGCGAGAGCAAAUGAGGCAAAUGGCAUCAUUGGGCAGAAGUUGCUCUCGGGGACCGGUCUCUGCAGGUGAGAGACCGGUUCCCCUGGCGGGUUGNUUGGAGAGCUAUGUAUUUUGGAUGAAAAAUGAUGUAAAGAAUGCAACUAUUGUAAUAAUUAGUAAAGUACUCUAUUUAUUUCACUCGUAUAUCUUGUGGAUUACUCGCUCUUCUUGUUGUUGGCACUGUUUGUGCCCUCGUUGCAUGUGUAUGUUAGAAUUUAAAGUCCUGGGUAAAUUCUUGUACACAUUCCUGUGGUUGAGCCUUGGGCGGGCAGGGGAGGUGCUGUCCGUUCGGCGGUCUGUCGCCGCGGCCGAAUCGUGCCAAAUUGGUAGUGGUUUCGGAGCGGGGCGUGACAGUGACAGCCCAUUUUUGGGCAUUUCGGGCUACGGAGACCGAUCCCUCUAAUGGAGGACCAGACCCCGAGAGCAAUUUGUACGCAGAGUAUUUUUCUGCUCUUUUCUCACGCGUACGGGGACCGGUUCCUAACCGAGGGACCGGACCCCGAGAGCAACUUUACACGAGCAAUUUUCUGCUCUUCCUCUCAGCUUACGGGAACUGGUCCAGAGGGACCGAACCCCGAGAGCCUAAAACCUCUGCAAAGUGCAGAAUUCCAUCUUCUUGCUCUCCGAAGUCCUCUCUAAUGCACUUUAUGCAAUUUCGAUGUCUUCGAACUUUUCGAAGCAUACCUAAUCGACAAUUGGUUGAUUCUAAUCGAAGUUCAACUAUCGGAUUUCGAGAAUUCACUUCCUUACAUGAGGAGCGAGUCACCAUGUUGGAGGUGACGCUCACUCAACUCGUCGAGUCAGUGACUGAGCUGCAGGAUAACACGAAGGAGGCGGUCCAUCACUUGAAGGAGCAGACCAUUGAAUUGUUUGCACGGGUGAACCUGCUAACAAGGGCCAUGAGCAAUGCUCCUCCCGCAACCCAAGGUGGGGGUCAUGCAGGGUGUAAGGAAGUAAAUUCUCGAAAUACGAGAGUUGAACUUCGGUUAGAAUCGACUGAUUGUCGAUUGGGUAUGCUUUGGAAAGGCCGAAGGUGUCAGAAACCCAAAAGGUGCAUUGGAGAAUGCCUCUGGGAGCGAGUUGUGAAGAUUCUACAAAGUGCAGGAUUUUUGCUGUCGCGAACCGGUUUCUAGUGGGAGAGACCGGUCGCCGUAGCUUGGAAAAUGUGGCAGAAGGCUCUGCGCACAAAACUUGCUCUCGGGGACCGGUCCCUGGCGGGAGCGACCGGUCCCCGUAGGUAAGCAAUUUGAGCAAGGGGGCUGUCCUGCGAGAGUGUGCUCUCAGGGACCGGUCCCUCGUUGGAGAGAUCGGUCCCCGUAAGCGUGGAAAAGGGGGAGGGCCCUUUUCUAUAAAUAAGUCACUCUUGGGGACCGGUCCCUCUUAGAGAGACCGGUCCUUUUUAAAGAGACCGGUCCCCGUAGCCCGAAAAUGCCCAGGGCUGGGCUGUGUCAUGGUUGCAUUGUGAGGGGUGUUUUGUGCAAUUAUGCACUUUUGAAGGGGUAUAGAUGGGAGAUAGCUCUCUCUUUCUCUCAUUCUUUCUUUGUUACCUAAAAGCGCUCUCUCUCUCUCUAAACUCUCUUCCUCUCUCUCUAGAAGGUGAAGAAGAGAAGGGUUUUGGUGGAGAAGCAAGCAAGGAGAGGGGUUUUCAUCAUCUUCUUCUUCCUCUUCACUAUUGGAGCUAGCUUUUGGAGGUAAGCUUGAAGCUCAACCAUGGUAGAUUUCUAGGGUUUGGAUUUUAUACUCUAGAAUUGAUUUAGUUGGAACUCUAGCAUGCUUAAUAAGUGUUUAAUGCAUGAGUUUGGAGAUUUAGAGAUGGAUUCUUGCAUGAUUGCAAAUUAGGGCUCCAAAAUGGCGUUUUGCCUUAUAGUAUGGUUUGAUCUAAAUUGAUCAUGCACAAACCUAAUUGCUAGGUGUUUGAACGCGUUGGCGAAGACGGUUCGACGAUUCGUCGAGCGGGUGCAAGUUAUUGGUAAAAAGGACCUUCCGAGCUUCGUUUCCGCCUGGGAGGCCGAGACGACGUCGUAAGAUCGCCGAACCGCAUUCCUAGAGUUGUGACAACGCCAGAAGGUGGGUGGUGUCAUCCCGAAGCAAUCGGGCUCCUCUUUAUGUCUUAGUGCAUUGUGAUCUUGCAUCUCUUACAUAUAUGCAUUGUAGGAUAAAUGUGCAUUUCCAUUUCGUUAAUCAUUUUGAGAAAAUGCUCGUUGACUAACAUGCAUGGAGCCAUCUGAGCCCUAAAUAACCUCUUUGAUAUCUCAUAUCUUGCGGUUCGGCUUUGCGUGCCAUACAACUCUUAUUAGUGCGUUAGCAUCUCAUAUGCAUGAACAUAGUUCUCAUACUGCCGUUGCAGCUCAUUCGACAUGGAGGCCAGCAUAUAAUACUUGACAGUUGACACGUUGGUCAUCAUCUACCCACUUGUCUCUCUUCUGAAUUUCUUCAAGUGUGCCCUCAGCGGUAAGCUCGGGAAUUGGAGAUUGAAGAACAUAAUCAAGCUUUUCAAUACCUAAAACGAUUUUUAGGUUACGAAGCCAAUCUUGGAAAUUAGGGCCGGUUAAUCGGUUAGAUUCCAUUAUAUAAGAAAAUAAGUUAAAAGGCAUUCAUUUUGUCUGCAGAAAGUAGAGAUUUUAGUAAGAUUAGUAUUUUUCAUUUUUAACCUAUUAAACUAAUGUUUUUAAGUUCAAAAGGUUCCUCCCACUAAAUUUAUCGAAUUACCACUUCCUAAAUAGAAAGACGAAAAUCUUUAUCCCUUAGAUUUCUUAGUGGUGAUUGGGGUCUCAUAAAUUAUAACUUACCUUACCGGACGGUUUCUUGGAAACAUAGUUAGUUAAUUCGUCGACAAAAAUUCGGUAUGGGUAUAAUACGAAUAAAAUUUGUAUCCCAAUUUUUAAAUUCGUUUAAAAAUACGGCUUAAAAUACGGAUUCGUCAAUUACUCGGAUACACGAUUUAUACGAAAAUUAUACAUUCACUGAUUAAAAAUUUAGGAUAAAAAAAUUCAAUAUUAAAUUAAACUUUUUUCUCUAGAUUUAUACUAUUUAAUAUGAAUACUUAUAAUUCUUUUGAACCAUUUUUUUGUACGAAAAAAAGUUAAUGUCUCAAAUAUUUUAGGUUCUACCACAUAAAGAAUAAAAUCACAUCAAAGAAAUAUUAGAAUUACCCAUCAAUCAUGCAUCAAACAUCACCUAACUCAAAGUAAUUAACCUGGCUCCAUUGGUUCUGGCAAUAGCAAGCAAAUUAAUAGGUGUAACAACAACUUAAUUAGGAGUAAUAUGGAAACUUGGAGUUUAGAGGAAAAAGAUGUUUUGUGUGAAAAGAAAAACACAACAACAACAGUAUUAACCAUAUAUAUAAGAGAAAAUUGUUAUAAAUAGAAAUCAAAAUUAAGAAGGAAGAAAAAAAAAAUAUAGCUAGGACUCUAAAAAUUUGGCACUUAGCAUGCACAUAAUAGCAAAUAUUAAUUCCACUCAUAGAAACUAUGAAUUAGUACCAGAUGAAGUGGGCGUGCGAAACUCGGAAGUUGGAACCAAAUUGCAAGCGGCGCGUGGCCCUAUGGGGGGGUCCGAUGGCAAGUGUAAGGAAGUGAAUUCUCGAAAUCCGAGAGUUGUAUUUCGUCCAGAAUCGACUAAUUGUCGAGUGGGUAUGCUUCGGAAAAGCCGAAGAUAUCUAAAGCACCAAAAGUGCAUUGGAUGGAGUCCACGAGAGCUAAUAGUGCGAAAGUCUGCACUUGGCAGGUUCAGCUCUCGGGGACCCGUCCCUGGUAUGAGGGACCGGUUCUCGUAAGCUUGGUGCAUAGGGAAAACCCUCUGCGCACCAUUGUUGCUCUCGGGGACCGGUCUCUCGGGGACCGGACCCUUAGGGGCAGUCCGGUUCUCGUAAGUGUCCUGCGAGAGCAUUGCUCUCGGGGACCGGUCACCGGAAGGAGGGACCGGUCCCCGUACGCGUAAAAGCUGGCAGAGAGCUUUCUUUCUGCCUGGCGUGCUCUCGGGGACCGGUCCUCUCGUAGAGGGAUCGGUCCCCGUGCUCUCAAACUGCCCAGACUGGGCCGGUUGAGAGGGAUAAAGUUGAGGGGCUUGGCUGCAAUUAUGCCUUAGUUGGAGAGUAUAGAGAGCAAGGGCUCUCUCUCCCUCAAUUAUUUCCACCCUCACACAUAUUUUCUCUCUCCCUCUCUCUCUAGAAAGAAGAAGAAGGAGAAGAAGAAGGAGGAGAGCUUGGAGGAGAUCAUCUCCCCCACCUUCCUCUCUCCCUCUUCAUACUAUUGGAGUAAGCUUGGGAGGUAAGCUUCUAACUCCUCUCAUGGUAGAACCCUAGGGUUUGGAUUUCUAGCUUUGUAAAUGGGUCAAAUGGACCCCUAGCAUGCUUAGUAGAUGCUUAGAGCUAGAAUCUAGGAUUUUUAUUGGGGAUUUUGCUAUAGUGCAAACCUAGGGCUCCAAAUUGGGGUUUUUGAAAAUUUAUGAGAUUGAUCUCAUUUGAGAGCAUCUAAACCUAAUUGUUAGGUGUCUAAACGCGGGGACGAAGUCGGAAUUACGAUUCGUUGAGCCGGUGAAAAAUUAUCGGCAAAACAAGGCCGACCAAGCUUAGUUUCGACCUAGGAGGCCGAGACAUCGUCGUAACGUUCGUUGGAAAGCGUUCCUAGAACCUCUACAUCGACAAAAGGUGGGGGGUGUCAUCCCGAAACAACUGGGUUCCUUUUUAUGUCGUAGCUCAUUAUGACUUGCAUCUCUUGCAUAUGCAUUGUAGGAUUGUAUUGUAGGAUUGCAUUGUUAUUUCCUUUCCUUAUGCUUUUUAAAUGAUAACCUAGUGUGAGUUGAAUACUUGGUAAAUUGGAUAGGUAAGGAUUGGGUCGGAACAUUGAAUCUUAUAGUGCUAAAGGAAAGAGAUGAACUCGAUGAUGAUUAGUGAUGUAACGAGUGGCAUAUAAUUGAUAUGUGAACAAAACGAGUGGCAUCUAAUGUAGUGUAUUUGACACUAGAGGUUUGUGAACUUAGGGAUAGGUGGAUUCCCUAGUAAACGACUCGUGAACAAAGAACUUAGUAUAGCUAAGCACUUAUGCAUGAAUGUCGGAAUAGGUGAGUUCUGAGAGAGUUGUUGGCCCUAGUUAGUAGGGUGUCCUCACAUAGAGAGGAUAGAUCAAGCUCACGGUCUGUUUUUGGGGUGAUAUAGCCAUCCGGGGUGGUAUAGCCAUUCAUGUCGUCGAGUACUCCAGAGUGUCGGGCGACCGGGACAGAGUUGAUGUCCGCAGACAAUCCCGGGUUCGAGAGCGAGUUGAGUCUCCGUACCCUACGGGAUAAUGAUGUGAGGCGAGGGCGAACCUAAGGGAUUCGCCGAAGAUUGGGUAAAUGAAAGAGUAGCAUUGUCAUUGAACAUCGCUUAUUGGACAUGAUUGGACAUAGUAGCAUGAUAGUAAACCCUUACUAAAUGAUGCAUGCAUUUAUUACUUGUGAUUGUGGGCAUAGUAGCAUAGUUUUCCUAUUAUGUCAUUUACUGCUUUGGAUAUCUAUCUAUCUAUCUAGUUGUUACUUUUACCCACUUGGACCUAGUGGGGAGAUCGGCGGAGUCGGCGGCCGAACCCAUUGGGAACUAUAGAAGAUAGUUCUCACCCCACUUCAUUACAGGGCUGAGUGCGGGCGCGCCGAGCGAGGAUCGCGGCAAAGGCAUAGCGCCCGAGCAGUAGACAGUCAGCUUUCCUUUUAUGCAUUAGAGAACUAUUUUGUAUCUAGAAGCUUUAUAUUUUGGGAGAGCCACAUAUGUAUUUGAGAAAUGAUUAUGUAUUCAUUUUGGGAAAAAUGUAAAUGUAAAAAGAAUGCAAAUGUGAUGUAAUAGUUAGUAAACUCUCUUUAUUUCUCUCGUGUAUGCUUGUGGAUUCUUGCUCUUUUAUUGUUGGCACUAGUUGUGCCUGUUGAUUGUGUAUGUAUUGAAUUUAAUAUCCUUGGUAAAUUCUUGUACACAAUCUCGUUGUUGAGCAUUGGGCGGACAGGGGAGGUGCUGCCCGUUCGGCAUCUGUUCGACGCGCCCGAGCCGUGCCAAAUUGGUAGCGGGCGCGGGGCGUGGCAGCAAGUGUGGUGCGGCUCGGGGCGGGGAGGGUUUCAAACUUCCGAUGGCGAGCGGCACGCGGUGGGGAGGGCGAGGGGGUUUCCGAACUUUCGAUGGCGAGCAGUUGCGGCCUCAUGGGAGGUUUCGAUGGUGAGCCGUGUGUGGCUCAAGGCGGGGAGUGUUCUGAAGAAUCCGAACUUUCGAUGGCGAGCGGCGCGCGCUCCGUGGGCGGGGGGGGUGGGGGGUUCCGAACUUCCGAUGGCGAGUGGCGCGUGGCCCCGUGCAGGCUUCCAAUGGCGAGCUGUCGGGGGUAGGGAGGGUUAUGGGUAGAGGCGGGGGUGAGAAGCUAGGGCAAAUAUUUUUGUGCGAGGGGUUUUUUUUUUCGGGCGAGCGUUUUUUGAGCGAACUAGCGAAGCGGUUUUUUCUUUUUGAGCAAGCGAGACGAGCGUACAGACAUAUCAGAUAUGUCACGCCCCGCGACCGCUACCAAUUAGGCUUGGCCCGGGCGCGUCGAACAGACGCCGGACGGACAGCACCUCCCCUGUCCGCCCAAGGCUAACAACGAGAUUGUGUACAACAAGUUCCCAGGAAAAUAACUUGAAUACAUACACAAUCGAUAACUACAACGAGAGCACAAUCAGUGCAAAACGACCAAGAGCAAGAUACAAGUAUAGAACAUACAANACCUCUCUUUGUCUCCAAGUCAUGUAACAAGUGCAAUAAGCCCCCUCAACUCUUGACCUCUCAAUCAGCCCAAAAUAGGCAUUUUCGGGUUCGGGAACCGGUCUCUCCAUGCAGGGACCGGUCCCCCAUGGACCAGAAAACUGCAAUUUUCAGCUUUUGCCUAUUUUGCUCCGUUUCGCUCCGUUUUCGCCCGUUUGACUUCCGAUUUGUCUCAAAUCGAACCGAGACUCUCAAAACAUGAUUUCAAGCGUAUUUACAUCAUGUUUUCAUCCCCGCAAAUACCGGAUUUAGUUUGCGGCACAACGCUUCCUUUCGGGUCCCGUUUUCACGCCUACGCGCACCGAAAUGCCCGAAAGCUUCCGAACUUCACCGGAACCAUCCAAAUGGCUUUCUAACCAAACGUACACUGUAACCUCAUGAUUUUAGAAGUCCGGUACCUUACAAGAUAUAUCCCAAAAAUUAGCCCCGUUUUUUAGGGCAAAUAAUUCGAUAGUCGCGAAUUAUUCACGAAUAAUAACCCUAAACCCAAAAAAUUGCGUUUUAUUCCAAAUUUUUGCGAAAGAAAAUGUAUACAGAGUGUUUUAUACGGUUAUUCAAUAAUUCACGAACUAUUUAUGAAUUAACUAAGCUUGGAAAGUCGCAAUUUAAUGAGUAGGUAACAUCUUACCUCGAAUGUGUAAUCCAAUCAUCCUGCAGCCUCUAAGGUCUUUACGCCUCAUCGGAUCGUUUCUUAGCGCAACAGCCUUAGUUAAGUCAAAUCCACCUGUCUUACAAAUAUGGAAUCAUUAAAAAACCCUCACCGGAAGGUUUCUUAGAUCCAUUGGUGAUCCUAUAUUGUAGCGCCCCAUGACAGGUUAUUCACACAGUUCAAACACAUACAGCCCUAUGGGACCAUGCAUGACUACUCAAUGCUGAAUAAAUGCUUAUCAUCUUGUGAUCGGUGGUAGGCCAUGAUAGAGCAUCGAAUGCCCCAUCGUUUCAACUUAAUAUUUUAUAGGGAGUUUGAAGACUAAUUGUUACAUCGGUCCCAUCAUCACAUUAAUCAUUCACAUGUUACAUCUCAUGUAACAUAAAUCAACAAGUAUAACAUACACAAAAAAUAACUGCAUAGUUUAGGGAUGAUCGUGGACUUUUUUUGAUUUGACUCAAGCUGAUGAGUCAUCAAAUUAUUCUAUGGGGUAAUAAUAACAUAUAAAUUCUCAACUUUUGAGAAUUCGUCUGCUCGCAAUUAUUCAGCUAUCUUCUUCUUUCGGGUCUGAUACAUGCCUUGAUGUCGUUAUUACUUGUGACGCCAGUCCAUCAACGCUUGAUGUGCAUGCUCCUCUAGAUAACCCUAAUCUCAUCUAUUCAGAAUGAGAGGUAUUCAUAGAUCCUAACUAAUUAUAUAUAAAAGAGGCACGUAGGCCUUAAUCUUGCAAUAAUACACCAUAGAUACAAAACACAACAUCACAGAUAUAUCCAUAAUCACAUCACAGAUACAUUCAUAAUCACAUCACAAAGGUCUGAUUUGGUCCAUGAUCAUCUCCCGCUCGAAAAACUGUGUGGAAAAUAAUAACUAAUUCGAUCUAAACAUCGAUUAAAAUUUUGAAACUUAAUAAUAUGUUUUUCUCAGAUCUCCGCGUAUUCAUAUUAUAGUUUAAAACCAAUAAAUCUCAGCACGCACAAUUUAGGAAAAGUAACAUCGAUCUAAUCGUAGAAAGGCUCCAAAAUUUCAAUUGAAUCGUGUUGAUUAUUACUAGAGAAUGAGAAUCAGUUUGAUACUACUGUUAGAAUUCAUCCGGCACAAAAGCAAAAUAAAACGCAGUGGAAAAAUAAUAAUGCACUUUAAACAUAUCACAUAUGAAAAUACUGAAAAAUAAAUAAUCAAUCCAGUACUGGCAGAUCAUGCGCAUGUUACAGUGUAAAAAUAAUUUAAACUAAAUAGAUCUAGUGUUUAGAUUAUAUCACCUUGGACCAGUUAAGGUUUCUUGAUUUAUUAUACAGUUGAAACUGAAUAUGACGAACAAAGGUUCCGAUGUAGCCGCGCACAUGCCCGGCCUCUUUGCGUAUCCACGCGGAAUCACUACAGUUCCAAUGCCUUCGCACAGAACAGAUGAGCCUUAGACUUCAAUCACGGUGCUAGUGGUCCCUCUGAUGUCUACAUUUUUUUUUGUUUUUUUUUUUUAAUUUUUUUGAUGAGACACUUUGAACUUCAUGGAAGAUCGUGUAGAGAGAGAGAUAGUGAAAAAACUUGAAUUACUCCAAAGUUCUCUUCACGCGGCCAACCUUUUUAUUUUCUCUUCUUUUAUUGUGCCGUACGACCCCUUCACAUGGCUAAUUAUAUAUGCCAAUGGAAAUCAACUUAGACAAUAUGAAUUAUAACUAAUUUAAUCAAUCUAGUAACUAAUUGAAUCAUAAGAUAAUUAUAAAUCUAGUAACUAAUUGAAUCUUAGGAUAAGUACCAAUCUUUUAUACUUAUCCAAUAUAUAAUUUAAUCCUUAUGUCUCUUUUCAAUUAAUUGGAUCAUAUCCAUUAAAUCAUAAUUAAAUGUUCACAUUUAAAUCUAAUCUAAUUAGAAUAUUAAGCGAAGAUACCCGCGUGUUGUGGUGGGUCGAUUUUAUAGAAAUAAAUAAAAUUUAAAAACUAAGGACCAAAAAAAAAAUAAAAUGAAAAAAUGAAGAAGAAGCGGCAGCGGCUAUAGUAAAAGUAUCAGAAAGAUAAAAAAGAAUAAGAGAAAAUUAUAAGAAUAAUAAAUUAUAUUUAUAACAAUAGUAAAAGUUGAUUUUGUUCAAUCAGUAAUUUUAUUUGAGGAAAAAAUAUGUUAAACUGUCUUACAAAUUUUAAAAUGUCUAAUUGUUAGAAUUAAAAACCGAGCAAUCAUAUUUUGGAUAUUUCAAAAUAUUUUAAAUAUGAAAUUGAUCACUCAUCAAAUUAUAAAUAUAAUAUUGAGGUUUGAUAUUAAAAUCAAAGUAAAAAUGUAUAGUGUUUUUGAAAUACGAAUCAUUUUGAAUCAGCUAUUCAACUUUUCAAAAUUUUGUUUUUACUAUCUAACCUUUUCUUAUGUUAGAUUUGAGUCAGUUAGUGAUACUUUGACUUCAAAAUUUGAAUGUGUCAUUUACUUUUACAGAUUUAUAACAUACUUCAUGUAAUUUUUGUAACUAAAUUUAUUAAAAUAACUAAUUAACUUGAACUUCAUCAAUCUCCCUUUUAUUUUUUAUCGUGCAAUCUAUAUAUAAUGAUUAGUAUUGUAAAAGUAAGAUUUAUAUUUAAUAUAUAAAUUCUAAACUAUAUAAAAGUCAUGUAUAAAUAAUUAUAGAUUUUAAAUUUUAUAAUGAGAGCAAAAAAAAAAGAAGAUUAAAUUAAAAAAAUGAGCCUGAUUCUUCAUUCCAAAUUAGUGAAGAGAGUGAAAAAUUAAAAUAAAAAAUUUUUAAAAAAGACUGGGCCUAUCCUUACCCUCCACUCACACCCUAGCCGGGUGGGCCCUAGACCCACUCCCAACCCCAAACCCUCCCUCUCGUGCUUCCCCUCCCCGCAACCUUGAUCUCAACUUUCUUUUCAUUAUAUGUAAUAGAUAAAUAUUUAAUUAUUCUCCAAUCAUAUUAGAGAUUAAAUCUUUCGUAAAUAUUCAAAUAAAUAUAAUUUCUCAUCAUUUCCACUAAAUUAUUCAGUGUACUAGACUCAUCUUUUCAUUUUGGAUGCACACCUAUUGUGUGUGACCCCCAUAGGUCCGUUACCAUUCGGAAGUGGAGUCUAAUAUCAAACUCUUCAACAUUAAAUUAGAACUCUUCUAAUCAAUUACAUAAUUUAUUUUAAAUUAUUUUUAUUUCCCUCACUGUCUGUGAGUGACACCUAAUAGUAUAUCACGACAACCCAGAAUGGUGAUGAAAAAUGAACUUUUUCACUUAUAGUUACCGUGUGAUUAAUUCCUUCCAACACACAACGUCCCGAUCGAACCACUCGCCAAAUUUUUUUUAUUUGAUCAUAUUACUAGAAUAUCUAAAAUCGACUUUAAUAUGGUAACAUAGCUGAAAACUCUUUCCACACACUAUGUACCUUGGCCAGCGGUUUUCCGAGUCGAGUCCGAUAGGCUACAUAAGACGUUCUCUCUCAAUAUUGAGUGUUGAAUCCUUUAUUGUGCACUCACAUAUUUCCCCAUAUAAAGUAGUAUAGCCAAUCAGUACUAAACGUAGACUAAUGAUUAGAGUCUAAGUAUUAGUACAGUCAAACGGUAGCAAUCUAUAUAUGAAGCAUCCAUGAUGUCUCAGGUCCGAGGAGUACUUCAGACAACUGUAGCAAAGAACUAGUCACUGGCGAGUGUGGAACCAUGUGACUGUUUAACUAAAUGGUCACGCUCAAUGUACUUGUUCGCUAAUAAGCAGCUGUAUGCUUACUUUAUUAGGAGCAUUUAAGAAUCUUGUACAAUGAAAUUUAUAUUUUAAAUUCCUAACUUUUAGGAAUAUAUUUUCUCAACAAAGAUUUAACGGACGAUUCAUGUAAAUAUAUUGACCGCUAACAAUAAACAUGAAUAAAACUUGCCCUUUAUUAAUUAAUAUAAAAUACAAAAUAUGUCCACAAGUCUAUAUCACCGAUUAGCUUUAGGGUAUAUUACUAACAUCAAUGAACAACAACUCCAGUUUUGCGAGAUUAUGCACAUGUUUGAGAUUUACUAGUCCACAAGUUUUGUUUCAACAGUUUCUGUAACAGAACAACAAAUAAGUAGCAAGGAACCGACAACAACUUUAAGCAUAAACAAAAUGCAGUAUUUUAUUAUCAAUAACUAUAGCAUGCUUAUUUUAGAUAACAAAAAAAACAUGUGUUAUCAAUAAUUAUGUCAUGCCCCGAGGAUUGCAGCAAAACCCUCCGGGGAUGCAACAAAUUCGCUAGACAUACAAUUACAAUAAUUAUGUCUCAUAUCGGAGAUUGCAGUGAAAGCCUCCGGGGACGCAACAGACUCGCUAGACAAACAAGGCAUGCCCUCUAUGCCCAUAGCGUACAACGAAACUUUCAAUAACAAUUUUCAUUACUCAGGAGGUGUUAGAGCAUAAUAAUAUUAUACCUAAAAUGGCAGCAUAUUAAUAACAGAGCAUCCUGACAUAAUAGGUAUACAAUCAUCAAAAUACAAAGCUCCAUUACAAGGACAAACUCAUGCUGCUAUAUGACUAUUAGUUGCGCUCCCUUCUAGGCUGUCAUUGGCUGAUGGAUACUAUCCAACUCGUUGCACCCUUCAUAUGAUCCGUCACUGGUGCUGGAUGAAGUAACAACAACAAAAGGUGUGAGAACUAUGGUGAGUAGUUCCCAAUGGGUAUAGUAGUUGACAACAACGACCUACACCACUAGGUCUACCACAGGCAAGAAUAGUAAAUAUCAAUAAAAAGCGAGUAACCAACCAUAAUAUGAAGUAAUAAAUGCUUUACUAUCAUGCCUCUAAGAGUAAGAGGAUAUCAAAAGGUUCUCCAAACCAAUCACAUGAGGGAAAUCAAGAAUAUGCAUCAAUAAUAGGUAAUAUCUAGCAAGAAUGUUAGACCCUAUUGUUAUGACUAACUCAUACGUCUGGGUCAAGCCUGCACCUGCCUACUGCCUGAACCACACUCCUGCAGGUGCGCCAUCAACACGUAUGUUGCCUAGCACAUCUAAUCAGCCAGCCUCCGGAGCGGCACUCGUGGGGAGCGACCCUAUGGAGUCUCAUAUAUCACUGUCAUCAUCAUCUGUCAUGCACAUCGUCGCCUUGCAGGCUAUGGUCAACGCAAUGAUUAAUAAAAUUAUAAUCAUAGGUUUUGAGUCCUCAGCUGUAAUCAUAUGGGUCACACUAACCUCUAUGAAUAUUCCACCAUAUUCUCUAUUCAGACAUUUAAUAAAAGAACAUGAUAUCACGAGCAUAGCUCAGAAGAAUAGAAUUAAGCUUAAUUAUAUCUAAUCAGACUCGCACUCGCUCAAAGUCUCAAUAUAGAAAUAUGCAAAAAUUAAAGAAGAAUAGUUUUAAUUUCAGUGCUAGCAAUAAAUCAUGUAAUAAGAAAUAUAGGUGUAGACAUAGUGAGUAGUUCACCAUUUUCGACGACCAGAAAAUCUACUUGAAUGGACGUAUGUCAAAAGAUUAGGGGGAGUAUAGAGCAUCAGUACUAUCGUGAAAUCCUGGCAAAUCAAUAUCCUAGAUUUAUCAUUUUGUCAUCAUAGAAUUGUUUUGUUAAACUCUAAUCAUACUCUUUCUUACCUCUCGUGGAUCGCACCCCUAGUAUCUUCACGCCUUAAGCUUGCUUCCUAAUUUGUCUCUCUUUUCUCCUCUAGUACUCCUUUUACCCUCUUUCAUAGUUAGUAAUUCGCGAAUUAUUCGUGAAUUAUUAAAAAUCUGAAUAAAAUGGACCGUAUACGAUUUAUUCCCAAAAAAUCAGAAUAAUACGCGAAUUUUUGGGUUAGAUUUAUUAUUCGCGAAUUAUUCGCGUAUGCCGAACUAUUCGGCCAAAAAAAGGCACAAAUUUUUUGGAUAAAAUUCCUUUCUGAAUUAUUGUCGAAUUAUUCGCGAAUUAUUGAAAAACUUCAUGAACUUCCGAAAUAUGCGGAUCAUGAACAGGAUGAAGGUGGAGACGACAAUAAAAUUUGUUAUUGCUUCUUUUACUUAAUCUACUUUAUUUUGUACCUCUUUUUUUUUAUAUUUUUAAGAAUUUAUAACUAUGUAUUCUAGUAGCAUAAAUUUAGAGAAAAAAGCUUAGUUUAAUAGCCGAAUUUUUGAUUCAGAAUUGUUAAUUGGUGAACGUAUAAUAUCCAUAUAAGUAGCGUAUUCGAAUAAUUGGCGAAUCCGUUUUUUAAGCCGUAUUUUUCAACGAAUUUAAAAAUUGAGAUAUGAAUUUUAUUCGAAUUAUACCUGUACCGAAUUUUUGCCAAAUUUGAAUUAACUAACUAUGCUCUCUUUCAUUCUCUUCUCUCUUUUUCCCUUCUUUAUUUCAUCCCCUCUCUCUCUCUUUCCUUGGCUUGCCCUCAAAGCCGGUCCUAGUUAUAGAGGUGGUUAUGCAAAAGUCCAAAAAAUGAAGAAUUUGCAUUUCAGUCCAGGUCUACGUUUUGGGUGCUCGAAUCAAGGUUUCGUCCCCGUCCGUACCGUUUUGGGCGCUCCCUACUUGCGUCCGGACGUCCAGAUCCUUUGAAGGUGUGUCCGAAUCCAUUUCUAGGCAUCCGAUUCUGCACCUAAAAUUCAAUUACUCGGUUGAUGAGUCAGUAUACUGAGUCAUCACCCAACCAACUUAACGAACCGCCAGACUUUCGGGCGGCUACAGUAACAUUUGGGCGUCCGAAUCUUGGGGCCCAAAUAACUAGACCCCCGACUAAACGAACCGCCACACCGACUUAAUGAAUCGCCUCACCUUCAGGCUACUACUGUAAGUUUAGGCGCCUAAUUUUAGGGCCCAAAACUAUCAUCCAGAUGAAAUUUACCCACGCGACCCUCCUCAAGGUUGGAUCGAAUUCUUUGCAAACUUGUAUUUUUGGCUUGUUUUUCCUUGAUUCUUUCCAACAAAUAUAGGUUGGAACACUAAUUCCAUCAAUUUCAUCGAUGUCUCCGGCACUACAACCUCUAACUCCAGCCGUCGCAUCUCCUAGUGACGGUUGUGAAGUGAUCACGUUGCUAAAUGCUCCACCAAUUUGCGACUUAGGGCAUCUGCUACAACAUUUGCUUUUCUUGGGUGGUAGAGAAUUGUCGUAUCAUAAUCCUUUGAGCGCUCCAACUAUCUUAGCUGCCUCAAAUUCAACUGUUGUGUAAAGAGGUAUUUCAAAAUCUUAUAUCAGUAUAUAUCUCACAAUGCUUACCAAGUAAUGUUGCCAUAGCUUCAAAGCAAAGGCUAUGGCUGCUAAUUCCAAAUCAUGAGUGGGAUAGUUUUUCUCAUAUUAGGCCCAUUUGGCCUAGAUUCCGAAAAAGUGAUUUCUGCCAAGGAUUAAAGUGCCCAUGCGUAUCUACCGUGCCGUAUCAUGUCAGCAAGAUAUUGGCACGAUGGUACAAUUCAACCCUCUAUUCUUAAAAUUAGGAAGUAAUUUUCUCAAUUUCACAUAGCCAGCUAGAACUGACACUUCUAAUUUGGCAUAGAACUUCUUCUCUCGAAGUGUUCGAUACUUCGCUCAAGUGAUCUUUAUGCUCCUCGUCAUUUCGAGAAUAUACCAAAAUGUUGUCAGACGAAGCUAUCCAAAAAGGGCUUAAAGACACGGUUCAUCAAAUUUAUAAAUGCCUCCGGAUCAUUAGUGAGCCCAAACAAUAACACCGUAAACUCGUAAUGUCCAUACUGUAUCCUGAAAGUCGUCUUAGGAACAUCCUCGAGCUUGAUCCUGAGUUGAUGGUAACUAGACUCCAGAUCGAUCUUCGAAUACACCUUUGAUCCUUUGAGUUGAUCAAAAAGAUCGUCAAUCCUCGGCAAUAGAUACUUAUUCUUGAUCUUGACUUUAUUAAAUCACCAUAGUCUACACAUAGCCGAAGUGAUUUAUCUUUCUUUUUGACGAAUAACACAGACGCUCCCCAAGGCGAAAUACUAGGCCUAAUGAAGCCUUUCUCUAAUAAAUCUUGUAAUUGCACCUUCAACUCGUUCAAUUCAGCUGGUGCUAUUCUAUAAGGUGCCUUCGAGAUUGGGUAGCUCCUAGAAUUAGAUCUACCACAAACUAGAUGUUUCUGUUAGGUGGCAUAUUUGGCAACUCCACCAGAAAGACAUGAGCAUACUCUCGUACAAUCGGGAUAUCCUCGAUCUUCGGAGUUUCACUACUUUUAUCCACCACCAUAGCCAAGAAAGUUAUAUAUUUACUCUUGAUCAAUUGCUUGGCUCGGGUGGACAAAAUAAUCAUUGCAAACCGCGACCAUCGACAACCUCUGAAAAUAAUCUCCUCAUGUCCCGGUUUAUGGAAAACCACCAUCAUAUUCUCACAAUCGAUGGUGGCAUGAUACCUAGUGAGCCAAUCUAUCCCCAAGAUUACAUCAAACUCUCCUAGCUAGGGUAGAACCAACAAAUCUGCCGGCAUAGUCCAAUCUCCAAACCUAACUGGGUAAUGAGGACAAUACUGCCGUAUGUCCAAGGUAUGGUCGGGAACCAAAACUCGUCCCGAGUGUAAUAUGGGAAUGAUCCUAAUGCCAUGCAAUUCGGCAAAUAGCCGAUCGAUGAAUGAAUGCGAUGCACCAGUGUCAAAUAAUGCGCUAACUCUGAUGCCAUUAAUUAAAAUGAUACUUGCAAAAUUCUCCCUCGCUGAUGCAUGCUCUGCUCGGUCCGCAUAAAUUCGCCCACUAGGUGCCUACUACGACUCUGCCUUGGUGAAGUCUGUGCCGAUGCCGAUGGUGUCGGUUAAGAACUCCUUGGGUACUCAGACUAAAAGUGGUAUGCCUGGCCACACAGAAAACAUUUGCCCCCCCACUCCGCGGGCAUUUUAAUGGUAUAUACAGUCCACCACAAAUCUGUAGUAUAUCGAAUUUUUGAAAAUAAAAGCAAUUGUAGAUAAAAGUAGUGUGGGAUACUAUUUUUAUUGGACUUAGAGUUGUAAAAGAUAAUUUCAAAAUGAUUUUGUAUGGGAUUCGAAUGAUAAUCGGAGCUUUGGAAUUUUUUUAGGAAUAGGGCUUACACUGCAGCUGAAAAAUUGACAGUGGCAAAAAAUUAUGAAAAUUUGAAAAUUUGUUGAAACUAUUUUUCUGAGACUGGAUUUAAAGUUUUGUGUCAUUUCGAUGCUCGAACAGUGAAAACGGAGCUUAACUGCAAUUUGUUAAAGAUUUUAGUCGUUAGAGCUUUCGGUGAUCUAAAAUGAUUUAGAACCGAAAUGUUAAGAUAAUUUACUACUAAUUAAUUUUAAUUGUGUAUGUUCGUCAAAUUUGAGUGUAAACCGACAAUCAGAAGGGCUCCAAUUAACCUUAUCAGAUCAAAAUUGGACUAAAAUCUUAAUACCUGAAAUUAGUGGGCUUUUAGCCUUUUUUUACAAGUUAGUGGAAUUCCACUAAGUCUAAAGGAGCCUUCACUAAGUCUAAAGGAGCCUUCCCGAAGCUCCUUUCUCUUCAGCCAGCAUACAUAGAGAGAGAAAGGGAAAAGAAAGAGAAGGAGAAAAAAAAGAUAAAGGAAUAGGUUUUUGGAGCCGUUAGACGAGCCGAUUGAAACACCGCGCGUGCGAUUUUUAGCAUUUCGACACUUAGGUUGGUAUUCUAAUAUUAUUAUCUUUUUAUUUUAAUUCUUUUGAUGGAUUCUUGAUAGUAUAAUGUAGAAAAAGAGUUUUUGAUGGCUUUUUGGAGAAAUUGGAUUUUUUAAACCGAUUUUUAUGCGAUUUAGGAGUCUAAAUCGCGCGAUUUUCGAUGAGAGAUUUCUCCGACCAGCUUGGAGCGUGGUGGCUGCCACGUAACCUGGGAGGACAGCGCAGAGUAACUUGACAUUCAAACGAUCAUUUCUACCCUUGAUUUCGCAUCCGAGGUGGGUUCCGUGUGGCCGAAAAUGGCGAACUUCCUUCUACGUUUAUUUUGCGUAUAGGUGUACAUGUAUAUGUUAUGUAUGUGCGCAAGUUAAAUGUUUUGAGGUUGUGAUGAGAUGUUGCAUGUGGAAAUGGGAUGUUGCAUGUGAACACUAAUCAUGAUUAGAUUAAUUGGGCAAUAAGUCAUGUAUAUGUCUAUGGUGCAUAUGUAGGUGUAUAUAUAGGUGGUUAUAUGUUGGUGGAGAAUUGUGUUAGUCUGGGAUUGAAUAGAGAAAAUAGAUUAUUUAGUGUAUGCACGUGAAUAUUAAUUUAUGUCUAAUUGUAGGAUUAAUAGGUUGAAUUGUCUUGGUAUAGUAAUUAUCAAUCAGAGAAUUAUUUUGCAUACUUUAGGUUAGGCCAGGAGGGGCCAUUGGAUAUCAGAUGUAUAGUUAAUGAGAUAUCUAAUAAUCAUAUGCAUCACACACACUUUAAUUCGCAUGAUAGUAGAUACUAAUGAAAGGAUGGACAUUAUGACAAUUGCAUAUGAGAAUGAAGUUGUGAUAAUUGUAUUAGCAAUGGAUCACAUUAUUUUAGCAUGUUGUAUUUCUACUAUUGCUUCAUAUUAUAUGUAUUCGAUUAGUCCGAGAGGGAUCGCCGGAGUGUGUAUGAAUGAAUAGUGAAUUGUUGCUAAUAUAUCAUAUUGAGUACUAUAUUACAAUAUUUGAGUUAGAAGUAAAUGUCAUAAAUAAAUGUUAAAGGGCUAUUAGCAGGAAAUUGAAUAGAGAAAUGGUUUGUAGCAUGUUGCAUAUGGAUAUUCAUCUAUGUUGCAUUGUAUAAAUUGUAAGUGUAAUGGUCACAGUAUGUAGGAUUGUAUUAGUAUAUCACUUUGCUAUAUACUAGAUAUAGAGAAGGGCCGGUUGACAUCUUGGGCAUAGUGAUGAGUUUUUAUUUUUCAUUUGCAUAGUACAUGUCAUGAGGAAUGUGAAAGAGACUGUGGUUUAGCGCGACGAUAGUAAACAGAUGUUUUGGAUAUUUGGAUAUAUGAUGGUACUAUUGUCACAUGUGAAAUGGUGAAUAGUCUAUGGUUAUGUUGAGAACACCAUAUUGGAUACUUGUGAUCUUUUUGAUCAUUGCAUAGACUAUAGCCUGCAGAGCCACAUUGAGCUUGACAGAGCUACAUACUAUUAGACUCGGUAGGAGUCGCUCCCUUUCGAGUGCCGCUCCGGACACUGGCUAGUUAUAGCAGAGAUAUGUGCCCUUGGGAUGACGACCCAUCUGCGGGAGUGGUGAUCGGGCUGGGGAUAGAGCCUACGUGUUAGCGGUGCACCUGUCGGAGUGCGAUCUGGGCACUAGACAGGCGCAGGCUUGACCAGACCUAUGAGUCGGUCGAUACGAUUGGGUACUAUUACUGCAUUUAUUUAUUAGUAUCAGCAUUGAUGCAUAUUCUAGUCACUUUGUCACCUAUUCCUUGCAUAUGUGACCUACGGGUUGGUCCGUUUAUGAUUGGGUCACAGUGUGUUGAUUGAGUUGCAUGUGUAUGAGUGAGUGAUACCUUAUAUUGAGUAUUAGUACUCUAGUUGAUACGUGGCAUGGUUAUUUACUUGGUGUGGUGUACCAUUUCUAUUUAUCACUAUUAGAGUUGAUGCAUAUAUCAGACAGUUUCAUUAUUGCAUAUUCCAUGCAUAGAGACAUGAUAUAUCCCUUGAGAUGAAAAUGAGCCGUAUCCUCGAGACCGGCUUGGGUGCUUUGGUUGCCUUCUUGUGCUCCACUUGCUACUCGCACUUUCGGCUGCUUAUCUCUUGCCCUUGCCUUUGUCUAGGGCUCCUCUUUCUUUCUUUGACAAUCUCCAUGUCCUUUUCCACUAUCAAGGCGCGGUCCACAAACCUCUCGAUAAGUCUUGAGGUCGGUUGCUUGAACCAGUCGGUAGAUCGACGGUUGAAGGCCUUGCUUGAACCAUGGAUUAAAGUGCCCAUCGGCAUGGGACCUAUCUACUGUGCCGUAUCAUGCGAGCAAGAUAUCGGCAUGAUACAGCCCCCGUGCCGAUGGCACAACUCAAAAUUCUCUCUUUUUGAAAUUAGUAAGUAAUUUUCUCAAUACAGUUCAAAAGAUUUGAUAAAAAUACAUAAUAAAUAAUUGGUAUAUUUUGUUGCUAAAAAAAAUAUUUUGUGCCAUUAAGUGUUGGCACACAUAUAUUUUUUAUGAUCGACACGCAUCAGUGCUGCCCGACGGGCAUCGUGUCGUACCGUGCCGGCAAGUUUCUGACACGACCCUGUGCCACGGCACUUAAAUCCUUGGCUUGAACAUUCAGGCCUUGUCCUCGUCAUCCCUCACCACAUGCGAUAUGCAAUUCAACAGACGAGAGAACUCCGUCUCGUACUCCGCCACGGUUCGGUCCCCUAUCGCAAGUUGCAAAGAUCUCUGUCCACUUUGAGAAUUCAUGUUUGUAGUACUUGUAACUCAAGGAGCUUGAUCUAAGAAGAAUGAAAAAUAAAGUUAGAAAAACGACAUAUAGUAUCAUUAAAAGUUAAUUAUUUUCUCAGUUAGAGGAAGAAAGGAUCCUUUUCUCGUAUCAGGUUUUUCUCUUCUUAUGGCAAUGAUAAUUUGAUGUCUGUCAUAACUUAUGUGGCUUGGAUGAAGUCUAAAACUGAGAGAGCCUCCAAGUAUUUCUAGCCUACUAUAUUGCUCAGAGCCUUAAGUCUAUGUUAUUAGUGCAUUUGUACACUCCCAUGACGGACACUCUUGGGGAUUUGUUGUGGGAGUAUGGAAGACACUUUGACAUAAUGCUCAUGCUAAUUGUAACUCUAGUUACUUGAUCAUAACAGGAUGAACAAUUAAUUUUGAAAAAAAUGAAUUGUAUGAUGAAAGAAUUAUUUUUUAAAACAAAUUCUAUAUGCUGGAGUUGGGAUGGCGUUAAUGCAAAAUAUGAAGGUUAUUAAUUACCUUUAUAUUCUCAGCAGGAAGAUAGGAUGCCUCAUGAAUAUGCAUAAUAUGCCAACUUACACUUAUAAGAGUCCUCCAUCAAGGUACAUGCUUGCAAGUUUUCCAUUCAAACUGAAUAAACUUUUCCUGUUUCGUUUUACGAGUUUUUGGAGCACUGAAAUAAGAGGAAUGUUCCUCCAAGAUCCUAUUAUAACUUUGGAUAAUUUUGUGACUUGCAAAUGAGAUCAUAAUGGUAGCCUUCGUAAUAUUUACUUCCUUAGAGACGAGAGAAAUAUUAAAAGAACAUUCAAAGUCACAUAGAAGACAGUUGUAGCAAAUAUGACACCUCAUUUAAGUAGAAUUAUGAGUAGUUUUAUCUUAAAGUAAUUUCUAUUCUUUAUGUCAGGAAGACUCUUGCGGAAAGCACAACCUGAUUUGAUGGAUGCUCUAAUUCAAGCUUCUAAAGAUGGUGACAACAGUAGGCUGUUGGCUUUAGCCGGUCAAGAAAGCUGGUCCAUUGAAAAUGAAGAAGAAGGGGAGGAAGAAGAAGAAGAAAAAGGAGGAGAAGAAAUACCUAAUGAGGAGGUAAGAUGUAACAUGAGUCCCUCUUAGUAUUCAAACACAUAUCAGCUGAUAAGUUCCUCAUAAUUAGAAAUCGUGCCAGGGUAGUGAUGAUUAUGUAGUAGCAAUGAGGUGGUUUGACGGGCUUAUUUCCAGAGAUCCUUUAAUCACAAAUGAAGUGUACUCGGUGCAUAAUGCGGACUUUGACCGCCAGGUCUGCUUUUCAUAAUUUAUGUUUAUUCUUACAAUUUGAGACUGGUGGAUUUAUUUCUUUCUGGUUUCCAUAAUGCACAAACUUCGAUAUAAGAUAACGGAUACAUUGAUACAACAGAUUCUUCAAAAGUAGGAUAAGACGGGUAGCGAAUUGGAAUUAAAUAUAUAAAGGAUAUAUGUACAAAUACCCCGUAAAAAUUAAAUAUAGAAAGGAUAUGUGUACAAAUACCCCGUAACUUUAGCACUUCUGCAAACAGUGCCUUGAACUUCUCAUUUUUGCAAUUAACCUCCAUAAACUUUAUCAAGUAGUUCAAUAGAGCCUCUUCCUCAACCAAUGUUACUAAUUAAACUGCCGUUCUCGUCACAUGUCAUUCAUAAAUCCUGGUGUUAUAUUUUCAUUUGUAAGAAGAGACGAAAUAGGAUCCCCUCAAUCAUCAAUCCUGAUUGUUUAUUUUCUUUUGUUUGAACAUAACAGAUGUUUUCUCUAUCAUCAAUCCUGAUUCUUUAUUUGCUUUCGUUUGAAUGGAAGAAAUGCUUUCUCUAUGUUUUGAAGCUUUACAAGAUCAAGUGAAAGACGUGUAACGAGAGCGAUUGUGUAAUUAGUAACUUUGCUUGAGGAGAAGGGGAUGGGCUAUUGAACUAUUUGUUAAUGUUUCGGCGGGUAGUUGGAAAAUUUGAAAGUAUAGGUAGAUGUUUGCUGAAGUGCUAAAGUUUAGGUGUUUGUACAUUUAUCCCAAAUAUAGUUUAUAUUGAUAUUCAUCAUAAUGUGGAGACAUAUUCAUUUAACUUAAACGAGAAGAAAAGGCAAGUGAAAAGAAAAAUUGUUACUUGUAUGAAGUUAUGUGAACAUUAUAUCUUGGCUAAAAUACAUAAAACUCCCUAUUUAUAUAUGCUUUUCCACUUUACCAGUCUUUUAAAACCCUUAUUUUCCGCCCUUAAAAUUUGGAGUUAUAGCACUUAACUCGGCACUGUUAUAAUUUUGUUACUAUUUUGUUCAUUAAUUGUAUGGUUCAGUCGAGAACUUUACUCAAAUGCACAUUAUAUCCUUAAAAAUGGUAGGAAUGCACUAUAAUCUUAUAUUUUCUCUCAAAUUAGGUAACUUUAUGAGAGAGAUCCCCGACUAUUUACUAAUUAACUUUUUUUUUUUUCGUCGUUUCUAAUGGUAAAAUAAGUAUAUUUGUAAUUACCUAGUUGUCCAACAUAAUUUAUGGAUGGAAUAGUGACAAACUUUUAACAGUAUUAAGUGCUGCAACUUUAAAUUUUUUAUGAGGAAAUAAAAGACGGGUGUAAAGUGCAAAAGUGGAUAUUUAUUUGGGAAUUUUCUGUCCUUAGGCCUUACAUCUUUGUUGCUUUGUUUAUCUAGGAAAGCAAUUAAUCGCAUACAGACCUUCAAUUUUGUUAACCAUCAUGCAAGUGCCAUUCAAAAUGCAUAAACACUAUAAUAAAAGAUAUUCAACAGUAUAAGCUGUGAAAGAUAAGUUACUCAGUCUAGGAAACAUGAUGUCCAUGGUCAUAUAUUUAUGUAAUCUGGAGAAGCAAACAGUCAAAGAGAUUGGGCCCUCUAUCUUGAGACAUUGUGUUUAUCAUCAAUUAUCGUUCUCAUUGCCUCGUCAACAAACAUUGCACAUUUUGAAUUCUGUUUAUCAAGUCGAAAAGGUUCGGGAUGUCAAGACUUCAGCACUAUCAAGUGAAUCAAAGUAGUCUCCUCUAACAUCCCACAUUGUGGUCUCUCCUUUCAAAUGUUAUGGAGCCUUGCUUGAUAUCGUUACUAUGCACUGUGGUAAAUUAGGGGCAGAGCUAUUAAGGGAUCAAGGAUGACCCCGGCCCCUCUUCAAAUUUCAGAAAUUGCAAUAGAGUUCACAUCAAGGUUUAAAGUGCUGUGGCAUGUCAAGGUUUAAAAUGCUGUGGCACGAGGGCGUGCCACUGUCUGCUUGGCAAGGUUCGGCACUGGCACGCUUUCGUGCCGAUAGUGUAAGUUCGGCACUGGCACGCUUUCGUGCCGAUAGAUACACAUAACCUUCUACUGGCGCGCUUUGGUACGAACUUAUUUUAAUUUUUUUGGUUCCAAUAAGCUCUUAUAAUGUUAUUUGAAAUAUUUAAUCAAACAAUUAAGAAUAUUUGCUAUGCUAAUCAAUUAAUAUAUUUGUAAGUUUUUUCUGUAUGUAAAGUACAAAUAUACCUGAUACAUAAUAGAAAUUUUUAUAGGUUAGAAUUUUUAAAAUGCAAAAACUUCUUUCUUUCUUUUUUUUUUUUGAGAGAGAUAGGUAGCACGCUACCCGCUUCGUUUUAUUUCAUUUAGAAAUAAACUUAGCUGGAAAUGUGAAUCAACUAGGAUUCGAACUUGGGUCUCAGGUACCAACCACCAAGCCCUUUUGCCAUUUGCUCUAUGGACGGUCGGUUCUUUCUUUCUUUCUUUUGACCAUAUUACAGUUUUCUUUUUUACAAAAUACAAAAAAAUAAUUUUAAAAAUAAUUUGAAAAAAUUGUUUUUUAAUUAAUUAUUUUUUAAAAAAUUAGUAGAUCUAUCAAAAAAAUUAAGCAAUAAAUUAUAUGAGAAAUAAAUGAAAUAAAUUUAAGAAUCAAUUAAUUUAAUUUAGCUUUUAAUUUUAUCAGUAUUUUCAAUCUUCUAGUGCAAAAAUAAAAUUUUAUAUUUGAUGUGUCUCAAAAUUUGUUUAUUGAGUUCAAUUUUGUUUCUCUAAUUUGCCAAAAAUUUCGUGGUGCGAUAAAUUUUGAUAAAAUAAUUUGUGAAGAAAAAAUGGAUGUCUGUGGUGGAAGUGGUGGGGUGCGGGGGGCUUCGCACCCCGCGGUGUAGAUCGGAUAUAUAAAUUAAAAAUUUGUUCGUAAUUGAUAAACAAAAAAAAUUAAAUUAAAAUUUUUUUGACUUACUUAAUGAGUAAUUAGGGGGGUGUAGGAUACCCAGAAUGCUUCGGAUACCCUAAAGAACAAAACAAAAAGAAAAAAAAGUAAAAAGCAAAAGAAAAGCAAAAAAAAAAAAAAAGCCGCAGCACACUGCGCUGUGCUGCUAUCUCGUGCAGCACGGCGCCACAUGCCGCAACACGCCUCCUUGUACGGUGCCGGGGCACGGUAUGGCACGGGGCGGCACUUUAAAUCCUGGUUCACAUGUCCAUAUAUAAUUAGGAUUCAGGAGACUAAACCUUUUAAAUAAAUAAUUAUAGUCUAGGGGCCAAAUGGAAAAAUGCCUUUUGGUAUUUUGUUCAAAAGAACUAAUGCCUUGACACCAAUUAGCAGUGGGAGGAAUACUUCAAUUCAUGAAUGGUUCUUGGUUGGUCUAGUAUAUCUCUCUCUGUCAUUCAUCUCCGUGUAACUUCUGUUUUUUUUUUGUUCCUCAACUUUUUUUUUUUGCAAUCAAAUCCCUAACCUCUUUGUUAUAUUGCAAUUAAGUCCCACCAGCUAAAAGAGCCGUUAAAUUUGACGGAAUGCACCAUGUUAGCGCCAGCUGAACACCUACGUGGCUUUAUUAGGGACCAAAGUGAAAAGAAAAAUGGAAAAUAUUGGGGAUCAAUGGUGCAAUUAAAAUUUUAAACUAAAAAUCUAAAAUUAAAAUCAUGAAAUUGAAUUUAAAUCUAAGAAAUUUGAAUUGCAAUUCAAAAUUUCAAUUUGACGUUGAAAUUAAAUUUGAUUUCAAAGAUAUUUGGAAUCAAUAUUGAUUCUAAUUGUGAAUUUGAACUCAAAAGGUCUAAAUUUGAAUUUUAAAUUUAAAUUUAAAAUCUAAAUUUUGAAUUUAUAAUUUGAACUCAAAAUUUAAAUAUCAUUUCAAAAUUCGAAUUUGAUUUGAAUUUUAAAUGUUGAAUUCAAAAUCUAAAUGUGAGUUUGAAUGGAUAUUUAAAUUUAAAAUCAGCUUCAAAAUCUAAAUUUGUAUUUGAAUUUGACUUCAAGAAUUUGAAAUUUGAUUUUAAAUUCAAAUUUCAGUGUUAAGCAAUUUAAUGAAGGAAAACACAAUCCUCAUACUUGACUGGAAUUAGUUGUGAGAAGGUGAAAAACUAUCAAUGUUGUACUUUAUAUCUUUCAAGCUCCCCAUAUUAUUGCAUGGAAACUGAAAAACCAAUUUAAAUUUUGAACAUUGUUCUGUUUCUGUCACUUCAUCUCCUUGUUUAUUGUUUAUUUUCUAGUUUUCUAUGCUUUCUAGUGUUACUGUAUUGGCACAAAUUGGAUAUUUGUCGUUCUGCCAAAUUGCAUGAAAUGGAUUUAUUCUGCAGAGAAAUUCUAAUUCCUGUAACUGAUGGUUACUUAAGAAAGGCAACUUUUACUCUAGCAUAUCUUGCCUCAUUAGAAACCCAGUAAUAGUUGAGAGUAGAGAAAGUUCAGAGUUAAAACUUAGAUUCUCCAUAUCCUAGUGCAAUGCGUGUAUCAUCAUUAAACCAAAAAGAUGCCCAUUUAAGGGUGCUUUGUCUAAGGGUGCUCAAACAAGAACAUCAAAAGGAUUCUGCUAGCCAGAACUGUACGAUGAAACCUAAUUCCUUUUGCAGUGAGAUUUUUCUUUCAUUCAAGUGAUUAUCCUGUGGUACUGCUUAAUUUCGUGAAUUAGCUUCUAAGAUGCAUAAUUCAUGGUUUAUUUGAGCAUCUACUUUGGUUGGCAUGUGCAAAGAGACUUCUCUAUCAAUCUUCCUUCCUGUGGUGGUUGACUCGGUCUGGGUUUCAACUGUUAUGAUGGCAGGAACUUCGCAAGCUUGUUAGGAAAGUUCAAUCAGUCCAAGCAGGCCAGCAGGCUGACAGUAGUGGAGCAGAAUCCAAUGCUAUGUUGACCAGAGUGAAGAAGCCCCUCAUUCUCUUCUUACGUUCCCUAGCAAAGAAAACAUUGGCUGAGUGAGUGUCAUGCAACUAUUAUAGUAUAUGAUAUGAUCAAUCAUGUUUUUCAUAUGGUAAGGUCAUUUUCACAUAUUGGCGCUGCCAAGUACAUUUAUUUCUAGGGAAAUCCAUUUGAUUAACAGUGGUAAGCAUUAUUCAGUCUAAACCGGACUACUGAACUGAACCAACUUAUGUUGUUUGAUUUGGCUUGGUUUACUAAUUUGGUUCUGUUCAAUUCAUUUUGUUAAUUGAGAACUGGAAAAACCAAAUAGACCAAUUUAACCAACUUUUUAAAUAGUUUACACAUAAUGCAUUCAGUUGAUGAUCAAGCAGUUGGAAUGUUUAACCGCGACUAUUGGGUUAAAGAUUUUAAGAUGAAGGUUAAUCAUAUUAUAUCUGCCUUCCAGAAGUUGGAUAUAAUAUAAGCCAAAAUUAUUUCGGUUCAGUCCUCUAGGUUGGAUAUAUACUAGUCAUUCCUCUAAUUUAUCUGUCAACAAUGAAAGAUCUGCACAGACAAAUGACUUAAUAUUUAUCGUCAGAGGCAAAAAUCCACUUGAUAUUUUUUUUUUUUGCAAAACUGUUAUGAUAAUUGUUGAUAUACUAACUUUGUAUAGUGUACUGUUCGGUCCUUCAUCACAUUUAUGUAGCUGUAGCUGACUGCUAUCCCCACUUCUCAAGGAAGAUUCCAACGAGCUAAAAAUCUGUUAGUAGUGGUUCUUGUCUUCUAUAACCAAUCAUCACUACAGAGACUAGCUUCACUGUGUAACUUAUAUCGUCAUUGCUGCAUAAUAAUGCACGCAUGUAUGAACAAGAUGAACUACCAGACUAGCUUUACCUUGCCGUCUCUAAUUAUUCUGCUGUCGCUUUUAUGUAUGAAAUUUAAGCUUUACCAUUGGCUCUCUGAGAAUAAUUCUUGAUGCUGAAGAGGACUUGUUGUGUAGGACGGAAAGCAUGAUUCCCGAUAAAAUUAUGAUUUAAAAGUGUUCUUGUCCCUUUGCGAGGCAUUAUUUGGUGCAAUGUUACUUCUCACGUGGAGUAUGAAAAAUUGAUUAGAGUUUGAAAGGUGCAUGUAAAAUUUUUGGAAUAUGGACCAUUAACUAUUUCGGUCGCUUUGAGCUGAGUUUCAAGUACCCUUUAUUCCUUUCCAGACUUCUUAUGUUGAUUCCUUGAUCUGUCACGUGUACUCAAAGGUAGUGUUUGGUCCGGGAACGAGGGGGAAUGAACUUUUAUUCCCUUGUUCCCAAACGUCGUGUGUUCAAAAACAGUAGUUUUCGGGUUUCUAAAAUAAGCUAAUAUAAGGCUGGAAUUGUUAUUCUACCUUUUUUCUUAGAACAAGUUUGUUCUUAAAUGAAAAUAAGGUAAUUUUAAUUAUGAUAUUAAAUUAUUAAUUAAUCUAAUUAAUAUGUUUAAAUCAUUAUUUAUUACUUAUAUUGAUCAACCAUUAAUAUUUCUAUUAAUUAAAUUAAUUUUUUUACUAGUUAUUUAGCUAAAAUAAUUUACUAAUAAAUUUAUUAAUUUAUUAAAUUAUUUUUAAGUAAUAUUUUGAUGUUAAUUAAUUAGAUAAAAUAAUUUUAAUUUAAAAUUAUAACUCUAAUUUCUCUUGUUCUAAUCUGACCAUUCAAAUACUAUUACUUUAUUUUUAGUAACAAUCCAAUUUUUAUCCAAAUACAAAAUUGGUAUAGUUCCUGCUUAUCUCUGAACUCAUGCAUAUCUUUGGAAUAAGUAGUUUUUACGUAUACUCGAACCAAAUGCAACCUUUUAGAGACUAAUGGUUGUUUCAUAUAAAUUAACAUAAUAUCAAAGGAGCUCAUGAGUUUUAGUGUCAUCAGAUGUCACGCCCCCGCCCCGAAACCCUUACCGAUUUGGCACGGUUUGGGUGCGGCGAGCGGACGCCGAACGGACAGCACCUCCUCUGUCCGCUCAAGGUUCAACAACAGAUCGAGUACAAGAAUUUACUCAGGAUUUUAAAUUCUAUUAGUACACAAUCAACGGGGGACGCCGAACGGACAGCACCUCCUCCGUCCGCCCAAGCUUCAACAACAGAUCGAGUACAAGAAUUUACUCAGAAUUUUAAAUUCUAUUAGUACACAAUCAACGGGGCACAAAUAGUGCCAACAACAAAGAACAAGUAAUCCACAAGAUACACAAGUGAAAUAAAGAGAGUUUUUGCUAACUAUUACAUUAAUUGCACCCAAUUCCAUCACAUUCUUUUACAUUUACAUUUUCCCAAAAUGAACACAUGCCUAAUAGUGUCAUCAAAGUACAUAGCUCUCCAAAUCCUCAACUACAUGAAUCUCUCUCAAAUACACAGGUGUGCUAAUGCAAAAGGAAAGCUACUACUCUACCGAUAAUCCUCACUGGUCGGGCGUGAUGCCCUUGCCGCGGUCCUCGCCCGGCAAAUCUGUACCUAGCCUUGGAAAUAGAGUAGAGGUGAGAACUAUCUUCCAUAAUUCCCAAUUGGCUCGGCUGCCGACUCCGCCGAUCUCCCAACUAGAUCCAAGUGGGCAUAAGUAACAACGAGAUAUAUAGAUAUAUAUCAAAGUUGUAAAGGCAUAAUAGGAAAACUAUGCUACUAUGCCCAUAAUUAUGUGUAAUGAAUGCAUGUAUCAUAUAGUAAAAGGUUACUAUCAUGCUAACAAGUUCGAUCCAUAUUCGAUAAGCAAUGUUCGAUGACAAUGUUAACUUUUCAUUUACCCAAUCUGUGGCGAAACUCUUGGGUUUGCCUACGUCUCACAUAUCCAUCCCAUUGGGUUAGGAGGCUCCAUGUGCCCCCGAACCUGGGACUGUCUGCGGACAUCCACUCUGUCCUAAUCGCUCGACACUCCGGAAUACUCGACGACAAUCCUCUCCAUGUGAGGAUAUGGAUGGCUUUACCAUCCCGAAUAACAGACCGUGAGCUUGAUCUAUCCUCUCCACGUGAGGAUACUCAACGAACUAGGGCCAACAUUCUUUCGGAACUCAUCUAUUCCGACAUUCAUGCAUAUUUACUUAGCUAUACUAAGUUCAUUAUUCACGAGUCAUUUACUAGGAAAUCCACCUAUCCCUAUGUUCAUGAACCUCUAGUGUCAAAUACACUACAUAAUGCCACGUUCUGUUCUUUAAACAUUUAGAUGCCACUCUCUAUGUCACUAAAUAACCAUCGAGUUCAUCUUUUUCCUUUAGCACUAUAGGAUCCAUAUUCCGACCUAAUUCUUACCUAUCUAUUUCACCAAGUAUUCCAUGUACACUAGGUUAACAUUUAGAAGCAUAAGGAAAAUGUACUACAAUGCAAUCCUACAAUGCAACAUGCAAGAGAUGAGAUUAUAUGUUAUUCUAAGACAUAAUAGAGAGUUCGGUUGCUUCGGGAUGACACCCUCCACCUUUUGAGGGUACGAAAGUUCUAGAAACGCUUCCCAACGGACGUUACGACGAGAUCUCGGCCUCCUUGGUCCAAAACGGCGCUCAAUCGGCUAUAUUUCGCCGAUAGCUUUUCACCCGCUCGACGAAUCGAAAAUCCGACUUCGGCCCCGCGUUUAGACACCUAUCAAUUAGGUUUACAAGCCACUAAAUGAGAUCAAUUUCAUCAUUUAUCAAAAACGCCCAUUUGGGUGCCCUGGGGUUCACAUCUUGCAAUUUGCACCAUAAAACCCUAGCCUUAAGCUCCAAUCCACCAUUAAUGGUACUAGAGGUCUAUUUGACCUCAUUUCUAAAGUCAAAAACUCAAAAACCCUAAGUUCUACCAUUAGGGUUCAACAGCUUAUCUCUAGGUUAGCUCCAAUGGAGAGGAGAGGAAGAGGAAGAUGCCCCAAGCCUUCUUUAGCUUGCUCUCCUCCUUCUUCUUCUUCUCUUUUCUUUCUUCUCCUUCUCUUUUCUUUCUUCUCUUCCUUGAGAGAGAGAGGGGAGCUAAGGGAGAGAUAGGAAGGGGUGAGAAUGAAAGAGAGGAGAGGGCUCAGCCCCUCUAUAUCCCCCAACUUAUUGCACAUUUUCAUAAAAGCCUCUCUACUUUUGCUUCUCUCAACCAGCUCUGCCUGGGCAGAAUUCGUGCGGAGGGACCGGUCCUUCCCUACCAGGGACCGGUCCCUGAGGACCUUCCCAAUUUCAAGCGUACGGGAAUCGGUCCCUGCCCGAGAGACCGGUCCCUGGGAGACUGGUCCUCCCAAUGAGGGACCGGUCCUCGAGAGCACCUCAGCCAGAUACGCUUACGGGAACCGGUCCCUCUGGCCAGGGACCGGUUGCAUCAGCUGGCUGCCGCAACCUCAGCUACGGGGACCGGUCCUUCCUGCCAGGGACCGGUCCCCGAGAGCAGAAUCUUCCAAAUGCAUAUUUUUGCAUCUUUUGCUUUCGUGGACUCGACUCCAAAGCACUUUUUGUAUUUUGGACAUCUUUAGCUUUUCCGAAGCCUACUCGCUCGACAAUUAGUCGAUCCUAGACGAAGUAUAAUUCUCGGAUUUCGAGAAUUCACUUCCUUACAUCCUCUCCUCAAAAGGAGUUUCGUCCUCGAAACUGAUUCAGCUUAAUUAAAACUCAGUUUCUAUACCUUAUUCCUCAAACAUGUGAGGAUGAUGCUUUCUCAUCAGAUCCUUGAGUUUCCAGGUGGCCUCGCGAUCAUCAUGAUUGCUCCACCGGAUCUUCACAUAGGGAAUCUCGCGAUUUCGCAGCUUUCGCACUUUCCGGGCGAUAAUCAUCACCGGAAACUCCUCGUAGCUUAAGUCUUCUUGAAGUUCCGGCGGCUCGUAUAGCAUCGCGUGCUCGGGGUCAUGAAUGUACUUGCGAAGGUUGGAGACAUGGAACACAUUGUGUACAUCCGCGAGCUUCGGCGGCAAGGCAAGUCGAUAGGCCACCGUGCCAACUCGCUCCAAUAUUUCAUAGGGUCCAAUGUACCGGGGACUUAACUUUUCCCGCACUCCAAACCGCUUCACACCCCGCAUUGGCGAAACUUUUAAGAAUACGCGGUCGCCCACCGCGAAUUCUAUAUCUCAACGGCGCCUAUCUGCAUAGCUUUUCUGCCUCGACUGCGCUGUGAGCAAUCGCUUGCGAGCAAGGCGGACUUUCUCCUCCGCUUCUCGCAACACGUCUGGACCGAACUUUGCACGCUCACCCACAUCGCUCCAGUGUAUAGGAGACCGACACUUCCGCCCAUAAAGAGCCUCGAAUGGUGCCAUCUUUACACUAGCAAUUUGGUCGAUCCGGGCCUGUACACAGACGCCGAACGAACAGCACCUCCUCUGUUCGCCCAAGGCUCAACAACAACGAAUACAUGUAUAAAGAAAUAAACAAUUCCCAGGAUCACAUUUCAAUAUACAUGGCUUGCACGAAGACAAGCAACAACACAAGUGAUAGUAAGUCUAACUAAAUAUGAAAUCCACUGUAAUUUAAAACUUUACAUAACUAAAAUAUUUAGUUAUUACAUGCUUUAUAUACAUUCAUUUACAUGUCUCAGUACAUCAAAAUAGAUGAUACAUGAACUCAAAAUGUUAAACAACUAUAACUCUGGUGUCAGCUAGCUAGGAUGCUGGGCUCUUGCUUCGAUCCUCGGCCACAACGCUCACACUGGAACCUGUAUGGUUAGUGGUGUGAGAACUACAAGAAAGUUCCCAGUGGGUUCGGCUGCCGACCUCGCCGACUCACCCACUAGGUCUACUCAGGCAUAUGUAGGCAAGAAAAGUAAAGCAGAUAGUAACCAACUAUAAUAUGUAACUACUACAAUGCCUGUACAAAGCUGAAGGAAGUAGUAUAUGAAAACUGUAAAUAUGCAUGCAUGCUUUUCAUUAACUUUACCCAAUCUUUUGGUUAACCCUCUGGUUAACAAUAACUCACUGACGCUAUCCCAAAUAUCGGGGAGACGCAACCUGCACCCGACGGGACCGUCAACUGGGGGAGACGCACCUCCUGGUCCAGUAAAGAUGACUACUCCGGAGCUCAUCGUUCAAGGAGGAGCGACCUCACUUGAACCAAACAAAUGUGAGUAUGAUCUGAUCCCCCUUUAGAGGAUUCAACUGACAAACACUGUCACACUUUACUCUAACUAGCUCUUUAUGCUAGUUUUAUAAUUCCAAUGUCGAUGCUAACCAAAUCUCUAGUCAUAUGUCACCAAGUUCACUAUUGUUAUAGUCCAUGCAUUCAUAGGGUUCUAUGUCCACAUUCUAUGUUCAUAUGUUCUUACUAUCAAUAAGAAUUCACACGUUCAAUAUCACUUGCAUAAUGCCAAUGCCCAUACCCUAUAAUGCAUGAAUACAGAAGUAAAUAUGCUCAAUGAAUAGCAUAGACAUAAAAGGUGAUUCAAAGACUUCGGAUAGCACCACCCACCUGUAGUGGUGUCCACAACUAGGAUCUCACGUCUCGGAAUGCGUCGACAACUAGCUCUCGCGACUCAGUGCAAAUAGAACUAGAACGGUCUCUACCGUAAUUAGCGCGUCGCCGACCUGUCGGAAAGUCAAUUUAGACUUUCGAGCAUGUAUAACUUUCAGUUACAUAAGAAUAAAAGAGAUUACAUUGGUGUCAUAUUCUUAUAUUUUCCAAGUUAGCAUUUCAUUCCAAAGUCCUAAUGCUGAAAUUCUACUUAUUAUAAGUAUAGAACAAUUAGUUCUAUGCUUAGAACUUUAUCAGAGUAACUAGUCUAACUACUAGUCAUAACAUAAUUGAAGGUAGCUCAAUCUGCUAUCCAAUUAUAUUUUUCUCAUACUGAAUUUCAGCUUACUACUUCAAAUAGUCCAAUAUCAGAUCCUGGCAGCAAUUACUCUUAUGUGGAUCAUCUUUAAUGCAACUAAUUUGUCUACAAUUAGAUAUUAGAACCAGUUUACCUUUAUCUGAUACCUGAACGCGAGAAAUCCACUUCCUGCACUUUCCCGAGAACCGCGAUCCGCGCUCGCGACAAUCGUAGCCGAAAUUGUCCUUUUGGCGCUAUCUUUGCGUAGGCUCGACGGAUUGCCGAACCGACUUUGCCAACGAGUUUAUUUUAUCCUCAAUUAGGUUUGUACACGGUCAAUUUCACGGUAGGACCUUUAUCCUGUAAAAGUGCAUUGUCGGGGUCAAAAUCAAACUAUCGAGCAAUUCAAUUUUUAUUUCAUUCCAUCUCUCUUUCUUUUCUUUCUUCUCGUUCUUUUCUUUCCUUCCUUCUUUCUUUCUUUCUUUUCUUUUCUUUCUUUUCUUGCUGCCCCUGCAGGGCAGCUGCUGCUGCUGCCACUGUUGCCACUGCUGCUGCUUGCACUGCUGCUGCUGCUGGCGCAUGCUGCUGCUGCUGGCGCAUGCUGCUGCUGCUGCUGCUUGCACUGCUGCUGCUGCUAAGCUGCAGCUGCUGCUGUUGGCUGAGCUGUUGCUGGCUGCUGGUGCUCCAGCAGCUGCUGGUGCUACUGCUGCUCCAGCAGCAGCUUGCUGCUGCUGCUGAGCUAUUGUUGCUGCUGCUGCUACAAUCAGUAGCAGCAGGGAGAGGGUAGAGAGGGAGAGAAAUAAAAACUCUACAUUUCUUUUUUUUUUUUCUACUUCUUCUUCUUCUUCUUCUUCUUCUUCUUCUCUUCUCCUUCCCUCUCUCUUUUCUCUUUCUCUCUCUCUACGUAUGGAACCAGAGGGGAAUAAGGAUGGCUGAGGGCUCCCCUGCUGGCAGGUUUAGUGGAAAUCCACUAAGCCAUGUGUAAUUACCAAAUUGCCUCUCUCGACUUAAUUCCGUUUAGUCGCACGGAUUAGAUACCUUUUGCAGGCUCUUCUAAAAGUCCAUUUGAGCUCAAAUUUGACAGGCAUGUUCGGUUUUACUUAACAAGUCCAAAGAAAUUUUAACAUUUCAGUUUCGACCCCGUUUGGUCACUGCGAACUGUACCGAACUGCAAUCUUUAUCCGAUAGCUUUCGGAUCAAAUUUCUCUCUCUACGGGUGUCAGAAUAAUCUGAAACUUUAAAUCUAGCCUCAUACAAAUAUUCCUAACAUCUCCGCCAAUUUUCAUAAUUUUCUGACACUGUGCAUUUUCUGCUAAUUUUUCAAUCCCAUUCUUUACAGAAAAUUUCAAAUCUUCUGUUUUUGCUCCGAUUUCAACACGUACACUUCCAAAACAUGCCAAGGGACUUUCACAAGCUACCAGUUUAAUUUGGAAGCAAUUCCUUUUCAUUUUGACAUCAUAUGGUUCAUUUCGACCAAAUCGACUACAAAAUUCAGCAUUCGAGUUACCAUGGCAAUUGGAAUUCUUUUGUCACUUCGUUUCCACUUGUAUCUAUUCCCACACUUCCAAAGUGUGCCAAUGACUGAUCUCAAGCUUCUAAUUCAGUUUAGAAGUCUUUAAUUUCCAUUUUAGCAUUAUUGUGCCCACUUUGAUCACAAUUAGCUUCUAAUCAAGUUUCAGCCUAUUACAAUCUCCCCUCCUUAAAAUAGUUUCGUCCUCGAAACUCGAUUUCAUACUUCAAUUCUCCUGGUCAAAUAGAUGAGGGUAGGAUUCGCGCAUAGCUUCUUCCAAUCCCCAAGUAGCCUCUCGUCCUGAGUAAUUACUCCAUUGUACUUUCGCCUAGGGGAUAUUGCGACUUCGCAAUUCUUUUACCUCGCAAUCCAAGAUGCAUACUGGAUAAUCUUCAUAGGUCAUGUUCUCCUGCAGAUCCACUGAUUCGAGUUCCAGAAUGUGUCCAGGGUGAUACACAUACUUGCGAAGAUUGGAGACAUAAAAUACAUUGUGAAUUCCUUCAAAUUUUGGCGGUAAAGCCAAACGAUAGGCUACUGCUCCAACUCGUCCUAGGAUCUCAUAGGAUCCAAUACAUCGAGGACUAAGCUUUCCUCGAACACCAAAUCUCUUUUGUCCCUUACAUUGGCGACACUUUCAAUAAUACUCGAUCGCCAACCGCAAAUUCCAAGCUCCUUUGACACUUAUUUGCAUAACUCUGCUGCCUUAACUGAGCCGUUAACAAUGUCUGGCGGACUAGGCGUACAUUUUUCCGCCUUUUGGAGUACAUGGCAGAUGAUCACACCAACUCCCUUUAUAGUCGUAUAUCCUUCAGAGUUUGAAUGGUCUUUUCUGUUUGCCCAUCGAUCUGAGGAUGGAAUGUUGUAUUAAAAUCGAGCCGUGUGCCAAGGGCUUCUUGCAGGCUAUUCCAGAAGUGUGAAGUAAGCCGGGGGUCGCGAUCCGACACGAUCGAUUUCGGCACCUCGUGCAACCUCACUAUCUCAUCAAGGUACACCUGCGCCAACUUGUCGCUUGCCCACGUGGUGUGGAUCGGCAAAAAGUGAGCCGACUUCGUCAAUCGGUCCACAAUUACCCAAAUCGCAUUGUGGCCACCAGUUGAGCGAGGCAAACCGACCACGAAGUCCAUUGAUAUGUCCUCCCAUUUCCAAACGGGGAUCGGUAGGUUUUAAAGCUUUCCCGCUGGAAAUGGACGUUCGGUCUUUACUUGUUGGCAUAAUAAGCAUUUCGCCACGAAGCGUCCAAUAUCACUUUUCAUUCCCAGCCACCAAUAGUGCAUCUUUAAUCCUUGAUAUAUCUUGGUGCUGCCCGGGUGAUCACAAUAAGGCGACCAAUGUGCCUUUUGCAAGAUUAGCUCUCGGAUCUCCUCAUUAUUCGGCACACACCAUCGAUUUCCAAAUCGAAGUGCACCAUCGGCGUCUACCAUGAAAUCGCCGCCACGACGAUUCUCGAUGUCGCGCCGCACCUUUUGGAGUUCUGGGUCUGCGAGUUGCAGAUUCUUAAUUCUCUCUAACAAGGUCGGUUGGACAACGAGCGCCAUCAAUUGGGCCGGAAUCUCGGGAGCAACCACCUCAAUGUUCAUUCGCUCCAUGUCCAGCCAUACGGGUGUUCGAUUUGUAACCCACAUAGCGAGGUUCUCUGCGGACUUUCUGCUCAGUGCAUCCGCGACCACGUUCACCUUCCCCGGGUGGUAAAGGAUAUCAACAUCAUAAUCCUUUAAUAGUUCCAACCACCGUCGUUGACGCAUAUUGAGCUCUUUUUGUGUGAACAGAUAUUUUAGGCUCUUGUGAUCGGUAUAGAUCUCACAAUGGGCACCGUACAGAUAGUGCCUCUACAGCUUCAAGGCGAAGAUUACCGCCGCUAGCUCCAAGUCAUGAAUGGGGUAGUUCUUUUCAUAACUCUUCAGCUGACGGGAUGCAUAAGCGAUUACCUUCUCGCCCUGCAUCAAAACAUACUCCAAUCCUAGAUAGGAAGCGUCGCUAUCGACCACGAAGUCUUCACCCUGCACCGGUAGAGCGAGCACCGGAGUCGAAAUUAGCCUUUCCUUCAACUCUUUGAAACUUCGAUCGCACUCCUCACUCCAAAUGAAUUUGGUGCCUUUUUGAGUCAGACGCGUAAGUGGAAUUACUAUCUUUGAAAAGCCUUCCACGAACCGCCUAUAGUAGCCCGCCAAGCCCACGAAGCUUCGAACCUCCGUGACAUUCGUCGGGCGCGGCCAAUCCUUGAUUGCCUCAACUUUUCUCGGGUCUACUGAAACUCCACCCGCAGAAAUCACAUGCCCUAGAAAUGCGACCUCUCGGAGCCAGAAGUCACACUUCUUUAACUUAGCAUAUAGCUUCUCCUCCCGAAGGACUUGAAGAACAAUCCUCAAAUGCUCGGCAUGUUCUUCGUUACUACGAGAAUAGACCAAUAUGUUGUCCAAAUGGCACGGUUCAUCAAGUCUAUGAACGCCGCUGGAGCAUUCGUGAGUCCAAAUGGCACGACCGUGAAUUCAUAGUGCCCGUACCACGUACGGAACGUAGUUUUCUGCACAUCCUCCGGCUUGAUCUUCAACUGGUGAUAGCCGGACUGCAAAUCUAUUUUCGAGUACACACACAACCCUUGCAACUGAUCGAAUAGGUCAUCAAUUCGGGAUAAUGGGUACUUAUUCUUGAUCGUGACCUUGUUCAACUCUCGAUAAUCCACGCAGAGUCGAAACGAUCCAUCAUUCUUCCGCACAAAUAACACCGGGGCUCCCCACGGUGAUACUCUUGGCCGGAUAAACUGUUUGUUGAGAAAAUCUUGCAACUGACUCCUCAAUUCUUUCAGUUCUGCCAGCGCCAUUCGGUACGGAGCCUUCGAGAUUGGUGCGGUACCGGAAAUCAAGUCUAUGACGAGCUCGAUCUCCCGAUCCGGCGGUAUCCCCGGUAACUCCGUUAGAAAAUUCUUUAAACUAUUUAGAACAAGAUCUAUACUCUCGAUCUUGAUUAUAAAAUUCCUAUAAUCAUUUUUUAGAGGAUAUUCAUUUUCAGCCGUUCAUUUUUACGCCCACUUGAUGGACAAGAGAACAAUAUCGGAAAAGCAUGAAAUUUGAUUUCUAGAUACUUCAAGUGGUGUAGAUCAUUUUCAACGGUGCCGGUCGUUAAUUUAGAGGCUCCAUCAUCGAAAAUAAAUGGAUGGCAACGGAGCUCGUUUGCUACCGAUAGCAUUUCAGCUCAACUCUCUCUCUCUCUCUCUCUCUCUCUCUCUCUCUCUCUCUAUAUAUAUAUAUAUAUAUAUAUAUAUAUAUAUAUAUAUAUAGUACGUCUCCCGUGCUUUUGAAAGUACGGAGGCCUCCGUAUUUGUAAGUUGUUUUCGAUGAUAGACCAUCCGAUUCGACGAUCGGUUCCGUUAGGAAUAAUCUAUGCUAUUGGAACUAUAUAGAAACCAAAUUUUAUAAUUUUUCGACAUCAUUUACCAAGCGAUCACAGGGUCUCAAAAAAGACUAUUUUAAUGGCCGAUGUGGCACGUUUUGAAGUUCAACAGUGUAGAAGUAUCCAAAUUAUAUGAAAUUUUAAUAGAAAAUUCUACUAAACAUCAAGAGUAAGAACAAUACUUCCGAUUUGAAAUUUUAGUCAUUUAUCACUGUUUUUAUAAUAUUUUUAUUUUCAGCCGUUCAUUUUGAGGCUACUAGUUCACUAGGCAAACGAAGUCAAAAAAUUAUGAAAUUUGGUUUCUAGAUAGUUCCAAUAAUGUAGAUCAUGUUUAAUGGAACCGAUCGCCGAAUCGGACGUCCCAUCAUCAAAAAUAACUUAUAAGCACGGAAGCCUCCGUACUUUCGAAAGUAUAGAAUCCUAACUAUAUAUAUAUAUAUAUAUAUAGCCCUUGUUUGGUUGGGGGUUAAGGGGUGGAAUAACCCCUUAACCUCCAUUUUAUCCCCAACCACCCCAAAAAAUGGGUGGGGUUAGCUAACCCCACCUAACCCCAUCUCAAAUAAAUUAUUCCGGGUUAGCUAAUCCCACCUAACCCCACCAAACUCCAACCAAACACUAUUUUCUAUUCAUAAUAACCUACCAUCUUUCUUAUCACACUUACUCCAACCAAUCAUUAUCCUUCUUUAUCAAUCAUUAUCUUCUUAUCCCACCUACCCAACCAAACACUAUUUUUCAUUAUUCUAGACUAACUCCAACCCUCAACCAAACACAAAAAAACUUUAACCCCACUUUAACCCUGAACUUAACUCUAUUCCUGGAAUAGCUACUUUUUUCUUAAUCCCGAACCAAACGGAGGCAUAGAGUAAGGCUACUAUCCUAUUAAUAGGAUUGGGACCCUUGUCCUAUAAAGUCGAUUUGAUUGAUCGAAACUUCAAAUUGAUAAUCGGCACCGUUGAAAUUGAUCUACACAAUUAGAAAUGUUUAGAAACCAAAUUUUGUAAUAUUUAAAAAUCAUUAUCAAGUUCAUUUUAAGGGUUGAAAAAUGAACGAUCAUAAAUGAAUAACCUUCUUAAAAUAGAGGUUAGACUUUCUCAAUUCAUAAUCAGAGUUAUCAAAUAUUAUCUAAAUAGUAUAAAGAAUUUUCUAUCAAAAAUUCAAGCAAUUUGGAUUACUCUACACCGUUAAACAAGCAAACGGCUCAUAUAGGCCGUCAAAAAUUGUCAAUUUUACGACACUUUGAUCACCAUGUAAAUAAUUUUUAAAAUUUAUGAAAUUUAGUUUCUAGAUAUUUCAAAUACUCUAGAUCAACUUCAACGGNNNNNNNNNNNNNNNNNNNNNNNNNNNNNNNNNNNNNNNNNNNNNNNNNNNNNNNNNNNNNNNNNNNNNNNNNNNNNNNNNNNNNNNNNNNNNNNNNNNNNNNNNNNNNNNNNNNNNNNNNNNNNNNNNNNNNNNNNNNNNNNNNNNNNNNNNNNNNNNNNNNNNNNNNNNNNNNNNNNNNNNNNNNNNNNNNNNNNNNNNNNNNNNNNNNNNNNNNNNNNNNNNNNNNNNNNNNNNNNNNNNNNNNNNNNNNNNNNNNNNNNNNNNNNNNNNNNNNNNNNNNNNNNNNNNNNNNNNNNNNNNNNNNNNNNNNNNNNNNNNNNNNNNNNNNNNNNNNNNNNNNNNNNNNNNNNNNNNNNNNNNNNNNNNNNNNNNNNNNNNNNNNNNNNNNNNNNNNNNNNNNNNNNNNNNNNNNNNNNNNNNNNNNNNNNNNNNNNNNNNNNNNNNNNNNNNNNNNNNNNNNNNNNNNNNNNNNNNNNNNNNNNNNNNNNNNNNNNNNNNNNNNNNNNNNNNNNNNNNNNNNNNNNNNNNNNNNNNNNNNNNNNNNNNNNNNNNNNNNNNNNNNNNNNNNNNNNNNNNNNNNNNNNNNNNNNNNNNNNNNNNNNNNNNNNNNNNNNNNNNNNNNNNNNNNNNNNNNNNNNNNNNNNNNNNNNNNNNNNNNNNNNNNNNNNNNNNNNNNNNNNNNNNNNNNNNNNNNNNNNNNNNNNNNNNNNNNNNNNNNNNNNNNNNNNNNNNNNNNNNNNNNNNNNNNNNNNNNNNNNNNNNNNNNNNNNNNNNNNNNNNNNNNNNNNNNNNNNNNNNNNNNNNNNNNNNNNNNNNNNNNNNNNNNNNNNNNNNNNNNNNNNNNNNNNNNNNNNNNNNNNNNNNNNNNNNNNNNNNNNNNNNNNNNNNNNNNNNNNNNNNNNNNNNNNNNNNNNNNNNNNNNNNNNNNNNNNNNNNNNNNNNNNNNNNNNNNNNNNNNNNNNNNNNNNNNNNNNNNNNNNNNNNNNNNNNNNNNNNNNNNNNNNNNNNNNNNNNNNNNNNNNNNNNNNNNNNNNNNNNNNNNNNNNNNNNNNNNNNNNNNNNNNNNNNNNNNNNNNNNNNNNNNNNNNNNNNNNNNNNNNNNNNNNNNNNNNNNNNNNNNNNNNNNNNNNNNNNNNNNNNNNNNNNNNNNNNNNNNNNNNNNNNNNNNNNNNNNNNNNNNNNNNNNNNNNNNNNNNNNNNNNNNNNNNNNNNNNNNNNNNNNNNNNNNNNNNNNNNNNNNNNNNNNNNNNNNNNNNNNNNNNNNNNNNNNNNNNNNNNNNNNNNNNNNNNNNNNNNNNNNNNNNNNNNNNNNNNNNNNNNNNNNNNNNNNNNNNNNNNNNNNNAUAUAUAUAUAUAUUUUUUUUCCUUUAGCAUCGACAACUCUGUAUCUUAGUAUCAGAUGUAAUAAAGAAUAAUUAAUUCUCCUGAGCACCGUGUGUAGCAAAGUUAAACACGCCAACCCCUUUUCUCUUUUAUUUUAUUUUUUUAUCCUCCGACAACUAACCGUUUGGUUUGAGCCUCCCAUUCGAGGUUGCUCUUUCUUGGAACUCGUUCACGCCCCUUGGCUGUCCGCAAGAACCACCACUAUCACCUCCUCCUUCUCGGAUGUAAGAGACGCUGCUUCAGACCAAAACCAAAAAUUAAAAAGAAAAUAGAAGAGUUACCGACAUGAUUCAAUGAGUACUCCCUGAGGUCAUGCCGGCCCCACUAAAUUUACACCGACUCCCAGAAGCAGACAGAGCCAGCUACAUUACCCUGGUCCAGCAGUUCCCCUUACUCCUCUCUAUAAAUUCCGCGCUCCCUCCCCAACCCCCCAGCGUCCCUCAAUUCUCUUUGUCUCUUCAAUUCAAUUCUGCAGUGGUUCUUGCAUAUUUAGACGGUGAAUAAGUGUUAAAAUGGCGGAGUAUAAAGUUGUCCUCUGCCUCCGUUCGGCCAUCCUCUUCUUGCUUGCUUCCGGUUAGUAAUGGAUUUCGAAGGAUUCAUUUUGUUUGGCUUUGUAAAUUGUAGUGCCGUCUGACAGAGGAUUAUCCUGCUGCUGUAUUAUUUGCUUAUACUACUUUUAAAAAAUAAAUAUUGGUACAAAAAUUUUUAUAUUAAAGAAUUUCUAACUAUUUUUUAGCCAAAGAAUCUUAUGAAGUAAAAUAUUAGAGACUUACAUCCGAAGUAGGUGAGAAGGUAAAUUGGGGCCAUUUCCCCUGUUUCGCCCCUUUGCCCUUUCUUAUAAUUUUUUUUUUUUUUUAAUUUGAAUAUUAAAAUUACGAUGGGUCGAUGUUUGAAUCGGCAGGUGCGUUAUCGGCGACCUUCACGGUGACGAACAGCUGCGGGUACACGGUGUGGCCAGGCGUGCUGUCGAGCGCGGGCACGGCGGCGCUGGGGACGACGGGUUUCGUGCUGUCUCCCGGCGAGUCGCGGAACCUUGACGUGCCGGCGUCGUGGUCGGGGCGCCUCUGGGGCCGCACCCUCUGCUCCACCGACCCCGCCACUGGCGCCUUCUCCUGCACCACCGGCGACUGCGGCUCCGCCAAGACGGAGUGCUCCGGAGGCGGCGCCGCUCCGCCUGCCACCCUCGCGGAGUUCACCCUCAAUGGCAGCGGCGGGAUGGACUUCUACGACGUCAGCCUCGUCGACGGGUAUCGAAUCGCAAACUUUAACUUUGUAUCAUCAUCUUCAUUAUUAUUACUGUUAUAUCAAUAUCAGAGCAGGACGACGAAAAUUUAAAUCCUGAUAUAUCCAAUCAGACUAAUUUUGUGAUUUCCUUACUUCUGUUAAAACUUAGCAUUCAUUUUAUAAAUAUUUCUUUUCUAUAGUCAAAUAUCAUCCCUAUUCUGGCGAACAGGGAUUUGGACUGUCCAAAAUUGAUGGAUUAUUUACAAUUUUAUCUAUACAAAGAUUGUGUCCAAAUUUCACAUAUGUAGGUGGUCUACAGGUACAACCUGCCGAUGCUGGUGGUGCCGCAUGGCGGGACGGGCGGAAACUGCACGGCCACGGGAUGCCUGGUCGACAUCAACAGCGCGUGCCCGUCGGACCUCAAAGUGGUCGUCGCCGCGUCUGUGGGCGGCAGCGGUGGCGUGGCGUGCAAGAGCGCUUGUGAGGCGUUCGGGUCGCCGCAGUAUUGCUGCAGCGGGGCGUACGGCAACCCCAAUACCUGUAGGCCCUCCACCUACUCCCAGUUCUUCAAGAACUCCUGCCCAAGAGCUUACAGCUAUGCUUACGACGAUGCUACUUCUACCUUUACCUGCGCCUCCGCCGACUACAUCAUAACCUUCUGCCCGGGCACCGCCAGGUUUUUUUUUUUUUUUUUUCGUGGCCUAAAAGAUUUUAUCGCAUAUUUGGUAAAUUGGAUUAUAUUCCACAAAUUUGAAAGAAUUUGAUUAAGGCCGAAAGAUAAAGUUAGUUGAGAUUAAAAUCUAAUUCCUUUGUUUGUUUCUUUCUUGAGUCACUUUCGUUGUUUUUUUUUGGGGUGGGGUCCAGCUUUUUAAUUAUCAGCGCAGCACUUCAUAACCAAAUUGUGUAUAGCAGGGCUAAAAACUACGAUUUCAUAGUGCAACCAGGUCACACCUGAUGUAAUAUUUUCUUAUCCAGGCUUUGCUUUUCUUAGGCCGCGUAAGGUAGCGGUUGAUUCAUUAAAAAAAAAAAAAAAUUCCUGAAAAUUUAUUUUUUAAAACUUUUUUAUAAAUGAUAAUGUUUUUUUCUUUUUUAUUUUUUAGAUAAAAUUGUUAAAAAAUAUACUUAUUUUUUAAUAAAAAUAAUAUAUAUAUAAUUAUAUAUAUAUAAUAUAUAUAUAUUAUAUAUAUAUAUAUAUCUAAAUUAAAGGAACGAAAAGUAUUCUUCAAUCAAAAAAUUUUCUAAAAUAUUUUUUUUAUAAAAAAUCAUGCGCAGCCUAGAAUCAAACUGUGCCAUGCAAGUGUCCUUUUUGCUCAUUUAUUAUUAUAUAUAUAUAAUAAUAUAAUAUAUUUACUUUUUCUUUUUCAUCAUUAUAUAUAGGCGGUACAGAGAAAACACGCACCUAAGUUAAUGUUGCACGGUUAAACAGCUUGUUACAGCUGGAGUCCGUCCGUAAACAGCUAAGCAGUCGGUAAUUCCUAUUUCCUACACUGAAGCAGCCAGGUUAAAAUAAGUGAAUGUUCCCAUACGUAAAUCACACUAGGAACUCUAACCGUUACAUGUGGACCCCACACUCAUCUAGAUAUUUUCUCUCUUUAGAGAUUUUUCUUUUCUCCUUCCAUUUAGAUUCUUUCCUCCUUAUCCCGUACUCGUUGCUGUGAAUUUUUAGGUGCAGAAACUUAUUUAAAGAUUGAAUAUUAGCUACAUUGAUACAUUCACUAGUUGAGAGAGUUUAACUUUGAUUCAAAAUUUUUUCCAGAAAGCAAUUUACAAACAAAUCCUAAAUUAGAUCUUGAAUAGAUUAGUGCGGAAUGGUGGGGUGAACCCUUGUUUGCAAUUCUGAUUUCUCUGCAGCCAGAAAUCGUCGGGCAAGAACCCCGAAGCUGCAGGCCUCCCGGCGGCCGCAGGCCUACCAAUGGUGAGCAGCGAUGGAAUGGUGUUCCUGAGCGGCGAGCAGAUCAGCAAGGCCUCCCCCCCGGUCAUGCUGCGCAUCUCUAUCCUCCCACUCGCUCUGGCGGUCGUCCUCCUCGUCUCCUUGCUCCAGCUCUUACUCCUUUCCUUUUGACCGCAUGCAAACGGGUGCCGUGUCUGGCUUGUCACGCCGUGCCAGACUAUUUGACAGCCAAAAAGAGAAAAAAAAAAAAGAAAAAAAGAAAAAUGAGAAAAAAAGAAUUAAAAAAAGAAAACUUCGCAGCCUCUAUAGUUAUUGGCCGGACGCGUCAUCAUCUCUGUGGACCGCACACAGCCCAGCGUCUCUUUGUCCUCGUCUUCUUGUCCUGUCCGCCUCCAGACUUAAGAUUCGACAAUCUAAUUAAGUUGCUGCUGUUUUAGAAAGAAGAAAAGUGUGGGCGAAUGCUGACAUACAUCUGACAGCGAAACGGAGCUUGCAUGCGGACGAUCUUUUUUCAUUUGAUUAUUAGAACUUAGAUGAUUCAUUUUAAAUAUUUUAAUUUCUAGGUUUAAUUAGGGUGAGGGUUCAUGGCUUAUUCAUUUUAUUUAUGUGAGAGAGGGGCGAAGGGCGGAGGGGAUGGGGGUGUCGUGGUGGUGGUGGUGGUGGUGGUGGUGAUGGUGGUAAUGAUAUAAUAUUCCAUGUACCAAACACACCGUGCGUAGAGCUUGUGUGGCUCUCCGGGUUGUGACAAUCAUUUUAAAACGAGGAUUCGUCAAACGGAUGAUAUAUUAUUGAUGGAAAUGUGCGUUGAAAUGUGCUUUUUGUGUAAUGCGCGUCACCGUCACAGCCCCGUGGAUGCCGUGUGGGUUGAGCUUAUCCUUCUCAUCUUUUUGGUCUGAUUUGUGAAUCACAUAGUUUUACAGUAAAUGGGUAUUAUUCAAAUCUCUUUUUCUGCCGACCAUAAUUCGAUCCCAAAUUAGUGGCUGAUGGUGAGAUUUUUUAAGCAUCUUGUCCUGCAAAAAAUAUUUUAUAUCCUUACUGCUGGAUAUAGUUAUAAAAGUUAAUUACAUACAACUUCUAUAAAAAAAUAUAGCGCAGCUUAUAUUUUCAUACAAAAUUUAAUUUUUCAUAUUUAUUCUUGCAAAUAUUUUUAUAUUUUUAAAUAUAUUUUGGCGGUUAGGAUUCAUUAGAAAAAUAUAGUUAAUUAUAAAUAAAAUACUUAAUCCUAAUUAGUGAAUAAGAUAAAUUAAUUUUUUUAUCCCUCUUAUAUUAUUUGUGAUGACAGAAAAAAAGAAGACGCUUGUUGAAAAUUUUUGGAAGGAUAUUUUUUUAUAGUUUUAACAGUUCGAAAUUUUUGGAAGGACAUAUCUGUGAUAACAAAAAUGUCAUUUAACUUAUCUUUUAUUAAAAAAAUAAACAGUGCUCCAACGGUAACAAACCAGAGGGAUAAAUAUAAAUAUUACUAGAAUUUUGCAGGAAUAAAUAUGAAAAGUUGAAUAUUGUAGGAAUAUAUCUGCUAUUCGAUUUGUAACUUGGACUUGUAUGAAAUUAACCUAUACAAUGUAUUUAAAGAUAUAAUAUUUAUUUUAUUUUGUUUGAUCCAACAAAUUGUUAGAUGUAUGCCCUAAAAGUUAACCAGGCCGACAUAUGUAUUCUUUUCAGGAUAUAAAUUUGUAUUUUAUUUAAAAUAUUAUGAAUAAAUUUGGAAUUUAUUAUCAUUUAUGUUGUGUAUGUGCCCAUGAAUUGUCAAAAGAAUUAAUAAGAUAAUGACACAUUGUAGCACACUGAAUUUUUACAAAUUGGGGAGUUCUAGUGAGAGAAUAGUGCUUAAUACUAUUCUGAAGGUUUGGACUGAGUUUGGUGGACUUAGGAGUGUUUUCGAGGCUUAAUAAGUGCGAAAACAAACUCCCGUGAUCAAAUCCUGCAAAAUUGUAUUAUUUGAGUUGAGUACCGGUACUGGACUUGAGGUAGCGGAACUCAGUUAAGUGCCAAAUUUGGUAGCUCUCGGGUUCUGCAGAACCAAGUGGUGAGUACUGAUACUGAGCCGAAUAUCGGUACUGCAUCGGGUUGGUAUCGGAACCCAGUUAAAAACUAGAAUUUCCAACGUUCGGGUUCUGCGGGACUGGCCUUUGGGUAUCGAAAUUGACCGUCGAGUAUCGGUACUAAAAAUCGCAUACCGAUAUUCAAUGUUGCAGAAUCUGUUUCAUACUGAAUGUAAAUUCUAUGUUUUAGAGAGGCUUUUAGGGAUAUUGUUACAACUAGUAUAACACACCCCACAGCCCCUCAUUCUCUUUCCUUCCUCUCCUCUUUGAAUGCAAGUACCUUUACCUUGGAGGGGAGCUCGGGAUUGACGAGAAGAGCUUGUUUGAGGAUUGAACUCCAACCCUAGCAUUAUAUAGCUUGGUUUGGAGCUUGAUUUGAGGUUAGUAUUGUUCUUAUACUCUCUAAUUGAGAGAUUAAUUUGUAAGAGAUAUUUUGUGGAAAAUCUAGUUUUGUAGAAAUUAGGGUUUGUUUUGGGGCUUUUCAUUUGAGAGCUUUUCGGAUGGAAUUGAUGAGUGUAGAACACUUUUGUAGGUUGGAUUUGAAGCUUCAUUGGGCUCUUUGAGCCUUGGGUGAAUUUUGCUUGGUCAAAGGUAAUUUUUACCUAAUUUUUAUUUGAUUUUUGGUGAAUUUUGUGGGAAUCUUUUUAGAAGCUCGUAACCCUUUGAAAAUUUUUCUUAGGGUACUAGAAGUCUUGGAGACAACUUCGUUUGGGAAAUGAUCGAGUUUUUGAAAGUUAUCCAGUGGGUUUGACCUCACUGAAAUGGGUGAACUCCCCCUAUGUCUCCUAUAUUGUUAUAGGAAUUGUUUGAUGCAUAUUUAUACUAUUCUCGACAUGCUAGAAUUUUUGGAUGCAUGAUACAUAUACGUUAUAUAUGGAGGUUGACAUACUCUAUGUAGUAGAGGCAAUUUGACAUACUCUAUGUAGUAGAGGGUCAUGAUGAUAACAUGUUGUCAUGCCCUGGGACCCAGCGGAAGCCCGCUGUCACGCCCCGGGACCCAGCGGAAGCCCGCUCGGCGCGUGCCCAGACCCGCCAUACGUCUAAAACGUAUAAGGCGUCUAAAAACAACAAUAAUAAAAGCAAUAAUACAAGGCAUCUAGGAGUAUCAGGGCAUAAUAAAUGUCUAAAUGCUACAACAAGGGAUAAGGAUAAAACUGUAAAUCCACUAAAUCAAACAUAAAGGGAUACAAGAAAAUUCCAGAUACAAGUGCUAUAGGCAGAUACAUAGGUGGUCUCUAUACAUGGAUACAAAACCUCUCACUCUCUCAACUACAAAAGAAAGAGUAACCACCUAGGCAAAAUACCGCUCCUCGCUAGCUAGCUAAGCGAUCCCCUUGCCGCGAUCCCGUGCCUCCGCUGGUGCCGAAGGCUCUGAAAAGGAAACCAUAAAACAGGGGCGUGAGAACUAUUAAAAAUAGUUCCCAGUGGGCAAUUACUGACUUCAGUGAAUCAUCACAAGGCCCAAAGUUACAAAAGAUGUCAGUGACAGUAACAAGUAGAAAAGCGAAAGGUAAGUAAAAAUAUUAAAACCUACAGCAACAUGAUAUCUCUACUUAGCGUAAUUAGCAUAAGUAUAACAAUUAUCAUGAAUAAAAGUCUCGCAACUAUCAAAUAAUGUUCACAAAUUGCAAAUAGUAAAGUUCCGUUGUUACUAUUGUCUAUCAAUGUCCAAGGUAAAUACUCUAAGUCAAUCCAUCCGUCCACAUGUCAUGAUGAAUACUCAAGUCCAAAUCUGAAGAGACCCCACGCGAAUAGUGUCUAUGGCCCGAGACCCCACCCGAAGGCUGUCUCCGUGCCGAGCUAAUGCCACCGUGGUAGUCAUCAUCCCGACCCUAGGAAUGAGCCUGUCCCAGCAAUCCCACUCGGCGCCCCAAUCCGCAAUGGCGAAUAUGAAUCGCGAUGCUCUAUCUCCGGAGGCCGGCUUGUAUGGGAAGGGCGACCCUGCACAAAGCAUAUGCGAAAUGAGCACAAUGCAAGUAGCAAACGAUCUGUCGGCAAGUACGCAAGUCCUCAUUGUCUUAACCAUGGAAUGUAAUGUCGAAUGUCCCAAAGGCCUAUCUCUAGUCAUCAUGUCUCUAAACAUGGAAUAUAUAACAGAUGUACAAUGGCCAUUAUCAUCAUUCUUUAAUUGCAUUUUCAAAAUAGUUUACUAAUUCACAAGUGCCCCUUUAUGACACUUUUGUUCAAACGAGUCAGCAUGGCAUAUUAUGUUCCAUGACUGCAUAGUUCACCUCAAUUCUACGCAUGGAAACAUAUUCUAACUGGCAAAACUCAACACUAUCCACAAUACAUGCAAUCUACACAUAUAGCUCUCUACUAUAUGGAGUAACAAAUUUUACGAUAUAUGAGCAUGCAUGUAAGUGUUCUAAAAUUCAUAUAAACAUGUUUUAGCAUGAAUUUGGCAUUCAAAAAUACUUUACAAAAGGUUUUAGAAGGCAUAGGGCCCAUUUUCCACCAUUUUUCAAUGAAUCAAACCGCACCAAAAAAAAUCGACUUCUUCGUUUCGCCGAACGAAGAUAUCCACAAGCUUCCUAGUACCCUAGAAACAUCAAAAAUAGGGUCACCCAAACGAAACGAAGAGCAAAUAGCUCAAUCAUUAACCAACUCAAGCUAGGGUUGGAAAAACUCACCUCAAAUGAAAAAUCUUCUCUAAAUCCUAAAAUGGAAGGUAGAGGUCUUCCAAUCUAACCUAUAUAAAGGUUCCAAACCCAUCAAAAGAGAUCAAGAAGCCUCAAAUCCAAAAACCCCCAAAAUAAACCCUAAAUCCCAAAAUCUAGGGUUUCCUCUAGAAAAACCUAGGAAAACAAGUAUCAAAUGGGGAUUAUAAGCUACCAACCUCAAGAGAAGCUCCAAUCCAAGCUCAAAACCAAAUAGGGUUGAAUUUUGAUCCACCACAAGGCUCCAAAAGCAAGCUCCAAGUCUCCAAAGGUGAGAAAUGAGAAAGAAGAUGGUGCUUCAAGGCCUCCAAGCAAGCUCCUUUUCCUCUUCUUCUCCUUCUUCUCAUUCUCCCUCUCUUCUUCUCUCUCUGGAAUGCAAAGGGUUGAGAGAAAUGAGGGAAAGAGAGAGAAGAAAGGCUCUCUAUAGGCUCUAAAGUAACAAAAUCCUGAUAUGCCCCUUAAAAAUUCAAUAUCACAUCAGCCCGGUCUGGGCAGUUUUCGCCCAGAGGGACCGGUCUCCCCGACCUGGGACCGGUCUCUCAGCCUGCCCCCAAAAAUCCAGCGUUUGGGAAGUCUCUCCCUGCACGGGACCGGUCUCUCCCCGCGCAGACGCGCUCGGGGACCGGUCUCGACUGCCAGGGACCGGUUGCCUCGUCGGCUACGCAGCACUGUUCACUUGGGGGACCGGUCUCUCCUAUCAGGGACCGGUCCUCGAGAGUAAAAACUCUCAGGACUCUGCCAAAACUCUCGAGAUCGAACUUUUAGGCCGGUAUACCAUCGACGGCCCUCCACCAAGUGUGGAAAAGUUCGGAAUACAAAUCGAACACUCGAACCUCGCAAUUUGCAAAGGUCCAGUGUGCUACAUUCACCCCUCCUAAAAAGGAGUUUCGUCCACGAAACUCGAAAGCAAAAGCAUACCUCAAGGCUCCAUCUGAAAAAGAUGGGGAUAGCGCUCCUGCAGCGCACUCUCUAGCUCCCACGUGGCCUCGCGCACCGCGUGGUUGCUCCAAAGAACCUUCACAUACGAAAUAUCCCGAUUCCACAGCUUUUUCACCUCGCGAGCCAAAAUCUUCACGGGUUGCUCCUUGAAGCUCAGAUCCUCGCGCAGCUCCACUAGUAUAGUUCCCAAAACAUGAGCUGGAUCAUGAAUGUACUUCCGAAGGACAUCUGAUACAUUGAAAGACGUUCGUGCACGCCGGAGUAGUUCGGUGGUAGAGCGACGUCAGAUUACCUACCGACACACACGCUCAAGAUCUCAUACGGUCCAAUGAAACGGGGCCAAGCUUUCGCCCGAAUGCCGAAUCUCUUGAUUACUCUAAGUUGGCGAGAGCUUAACAGAAAACAUGGUCUCCACUUGGUAACUCCUAAGUCCGCCGUCGUCGAUCGAUCGUACUCCUCCCUAGUUACCUCUGCGCCAGUCAAAGUCAGCUCUCGAGCAAUUCGAACCUUGUCCUCAAGUCUUCCUGGAGCAUUCAUCGGGCCUAAAGCCAAACUCAUCGGCCAACUUCCUUCAAUGAAGUGCGAUCUACACUUCCUCCAUAAAGUGCUUCGAAGGGCGCCAUCUUUGAUGCUUGCUUGAUAAUUGUUGUAUAAAGCAAACUCCGCCAUAAUGGUAGAUGCUUCGCGCACCAUCCUCCUGGAAGUUCUAUGCACACAUGCUCGGAGCAUAUCUCUCUAAGGUCUAGAAAGAGUGCGCUCCUCCGACUGCCAUCACUCUGCGGGUGGAAUGCUGUACUGAAAUACAGUCGGGUGCCUAAGCGUUUCUGUAGGCUCCUCCAAAAGUGAGACACGAAGUGCGUGUCGCGAUCCAGAUACAAUCGAUGGUAGGCACCCAUGAAGUCGCACAAUCUCAAUAAGGUACAACAUUGUUCGAGCUUCUCUUCGGUCCAAGCGUAAUGAAUAGGUAAUGAAGUGCGCCGACUUCGCAACACUAUCGCACGAUCACCCAAAUAGCGUCAUGCCCCGCCUGGUGAGCGUGGCAAUCCUAUCACACAAAGUCCAUGUGAUUCUUCUCCAUUUCCACACUGGAAUAUGCAAACUCUGAAGUUUCCCGCGGAACUUCGGCUCACCUUACACUGUUGGCAAGUUAGACAACAACUACAAACCUCGCCAACGUCCUUUUUUCAUCCGGGCCACCAAUAGAGCAACUUUAGAUCCCUUUGUACAUCUUGUGCCACCGGAGUGUAUAGCAUACGCGUUCGUGCGCUUCUUGAAGAAUAGUCUCUUUAAUUCCUGAAUACCGCGGUAUACAAAUCCGCGCCACCGGAUAAUACGCAGCAGUCCCUAUCGUCAAAAGGAUAGUCGCCGUGCAAACCAUCAAAUGUAUUUUUUGCCUCUAUAUUUGGCAAUCCCAAAUCGGAGACUUGCUUUUCUUAACUUCAUCUGGCAAGGUAUGGUUGCAUGUAAUACACUUGGAUGCUUAGCAAAUUGCAAGAUUCGAGUGUUUGAUCUGUGUGUGGAGGCCUUUCCACGAGUUUUUUGGAGGGUCGUUAUAGUGUCCGACCGCCCCGGCACGCAUUCCCGAGAUGUUUGAGUGAGACUUGGCACCAAAAUCCCCAAAAUCGAAUUUUGGACUAUCUCUCGGGUAGCCGCAAGCGUGCUUGUACCGAGAAACAAACUGGCCUUGGUACCGGUACAAGGAUUGAUGGUUUGUACCGGUACAACAGCAUCGGGCUUGUACCGGUACGAAGCCGCAGACCCCCGACCCAGCCCGGUUUGCAAAUUUCGUCGCCUUGUAGCCGUACAAGAGCCCGUGUACCGGUACAAGGAGCGCCAGAUUUCGUUGGCAGUUUGAACUGCAAGGGGUUUCGCGAUGUAGGCCACCCUAUUAGUAACCCCCACGCCCUUAGGGCUUCCCUGACUUCAAGCAGCAGGAAAGAAGAGGUUAGGCGGAGUUCUCCACACUCCUCCUCUCUAUUCUUUGAUUUUGGUUGGUUUUAUUUGUGAUUUAAGCCUCAAUGCUUUUUCCCUCUUCUUGCUUCUGGUGUUCUCCUCAUGGAAGAGGCUUGAGCUUUGUUUUUGGAGCUUGUUUAGGGAGAUUUUCAGAUUUUGGGUGACUUUGGAUACUUGUUGAGCUUCCAAAGAGGUUAGAAGAUUAGUUCUUACCUUUGAUGCCUAAUUAUGUGGAUUCAUGAGAUGAAACCCUAGAGUAUGAAUUAGGGUUUAUUUUGGUAUUUGAAUCUAGGCUUUUUGAAGCUAGAUUGUUUUUGGAUUAGAUGGCUUCCCAUUAGGUGAUUGGAUGAGCCCUAGCUUCAUUUUGGAGCUGUUAGAGGAAUUUUGCAACUAAGUGAGUUUUUCUCACCAUAUGUACUUGAUUAGCUUAAUGUGAUGCUAUGGUAUUGUUCGUUCGCUCGUAUGACCAUGUUCUUGUACCUCUAGGUACUAGAACUAUGAGGACACGCCUCGUUGGACGCGCACGAUGGAAGUUUCUGUUUCAUCGCUGGUUGGCUUCGUGGAAUAUGGGGCGAAAUGGCAUCUAUUGCUUCUUUCUACUUGUUGUAAAUUAUGUUCUAAGUUCAUUUCUAUGCUAAAUGGAAAUUUAUAUGAUUUUAGAGCAUUUAAAAUGCAUGUCCUCGUGUAAUUAUGAAUAUUCAACUAAAUAUAGUAGAGCUAUAUGAGGUAGAAUGCAUGCCAUACGGAAAAAAGUGUUUAUUUUGCAAAGUGGAAAAAUACAUUCUAUGAGAAUUAUGACUUGGAAUAUGUACUUUGGGAAGCUAUAGUUUACCAUUUUUGACAUCAGAGAACCAGAGUGUAUAAAGGGGCAUCUUGAAACUAGUAAAUAUGAAACUCAACAUAGAGCAAUAUUGUAGGCCACUACAAUCUGCUAAUAUUUCCAUUUAGAGACAUGACGACAUAAGAGAUAGCCAUCGUGAUAACUUGACAAUAUUUCAAUGUUUGUUAGACAUGAGGACUUCGUUACUUGAGCAGCAGAUCAUUGCUUGCUGCCAUUUGUCUCAGAUUCGCACAUUUUUGCUUUGUGAGGGUCGCUCCAUACAAGCGGCUACCUGCCGAGAUAGCCAUCCGACAUCAUCUCCGCCGUGCGGAUUGGGCGCUCGAAGUGGAUCGCGCACGUGGGAGGCUCAUCCCAGAGUGGGGCAUGCCUGACUACCAAACGGGGCCAUUAGCAGCGGCGCCAGGCCAGACAGCCUUGGUGGGUUCUUACAUGAUUGGGAACUUACGUCGCACAGAUCAUGCAAUGUGAACUUUAAAAACUUAUUAAAGUGACUUGGACUAAAUAGUUAAUACGAUGAAUUUUUAUAAUCUUUGGCAUUGGACAUUGGAUUGUUUGCAUUUUCUAACGUUAUCAUGUCCUUACACAUCCAUGUACAUUCAUGUUAUAGUUGAUUUAUAUUACUUAUGCAAAUCAUAGCUAAAAUGGAGACUGCUAUGUUUAUGUAAGGUAUAAAUUCACUACGUUUAUAUACAAUUGUAUGUCACUGACCCUUUUCUUCAGGUAGCUUUGCUAUGUGCGUAUCCACUGGAAGUCAGUAAUUGCCACUGGAACUAUUUUAUAUUCUCACGGCCCCUGUUUUCUGUUUCUUUUCAGAGCCUUCGGCACCAGGCGUGAGGCACGGAUCGCGGCCAAGGGGAUCGCAUACGCUAACGAGGAAGCGGUUCCUUGCUUAGGUGGUUUGCUCUUUCUUUUUGUAGUUUGGGAGAGUGAGAGAUUUGUAUCCGAUUGUAGAGACGCACUCUAUGUAUCCUACUUUUAGCACUUGUAUUUGGGAUUUUUCUAUUGUAAUUUACUUAUGUUAUAGUGAUUUACAGCUUAUCCUUACCUGGUUGUUAAGCAAUUUAGAGCAUUUAUCAUGCUCUGAUACUCCUAGAUGCCUCUUAUUAUUGCUUUUAUUACUGUUGUUUUUAGACGCCUAAUAGUUUAGACGUAUGGCGGGUCUGCACGUGCCGGGCGGGCCUUCUGCUGGGUCCCGGGCUUGAAAGGUUAUAUUACAUCACUUACCGUNNNNNNNNNNNNNNNNNNNNNNNNNUCCAUAAAGUGCUUCGAAGGGCGCCAUCUUGAUGCUUGCUUGAUAACUAUUGUUAUAAGCAAACUUCGCCAUAGGUAGAUGCUGCGACCAUCCUCCCUGGAAGUCUAUCACACAUGUCCGGAGCAUAUCCUCUAAGGUCUGUAUAGUGCGCUCCGACUGUCCAUCACUCUGCGGGUGGAAUGCUGUACUGAAAUCCAAUCGGGUGCCCAAGGCGUCCUGCAGACUCCUCCAAAAGUGAGACACGAAGCGCGUGUCGCGAUCAGACACAAUCGAUGUAGGCACUCCAUGAAGCCACACAAUCUCAUCAAGGUACACUUGUGCGAGCUUCUCCCCGGUCCAAGUAGUAUGAAUAGGCACGAAGUGUGCCGUCUUUGUCAACCUAUCCACAAUCACCCAAAUAGCAUCGUGCCCUGCAUGAGAGCGAGGCAACCCUGUCACAAAGUCCAUGGUGAUCUUCUCCCAUUUCCACACGGGAAUAGGCAAACUCUGAGGUUUUCCCGCGGAAACUCGGUGCUCAGCCUUUACUUGUUGGCAAGUAAGACAACGAGCUACAAACUCGCCAACGUCCUUCUUCAUCCCGGGCCACCAAUAGAGCAACUUUAAGUCCUUGUACAUCUUGGUGCCUCCCGGAUGUAUAGCAUACGGUGCUCGGUGAGCUUCUUGAAGAAUAUCCUCUUUAAUCCCUGAAUCCGCGGGUACACAAAUCCGCCCACGGAAACGCAUCAAUCCCUGAUCAUCCAAAAGGAAGUCGCCGGCGAAACCAUCAACCACUUUACCUCGAAUCUUUUGCAAUUUCAAAUCGGAAACUUGCUUCUCUUUGAUUCUGUCCAACAAGGUAGGUUGCACUANNNNNNNNNNNNNNNNNNNNNNNNNNNNNNNNNNNNNNNNNNNNNNNNNNNNNNNNNNNNNNNNNNNNNNNNNNNNNNNNNNNNNNNNNNNNNNNNNNNNUUUAUACUUAGAGUUUAAAUAAUUUAGGCUUUUAAUUAUGCUUUCAUUAUUGCCAGUUAUUAUUGCUAUUAUUAAUUCGUAAUUUACCCUUUCUCUUUAGGUAGUGGUGAGGAGCUGACAGCCGGGUUCAGUAAUUGCCCAUCUGGGAACUAUAGAAUUAUAGUUCUCACGCCCUUCUUUUUCGCGAUGUUUUUCAGGGGGACCUUUCCACGCAGGGGAGAGAGAUAGCAGGGAAGGGAGGUUGCUUUCGAGCUAGCUUCCUUCGAGUACAAGUUGCAGGUGGUCUACUCUCGUUUAUAUUCUUUUGCGAGAGGUUGAGAGUUCUUACCAGUGUUACUAAGAGACCACACUUUUGCUUUUUGGAGACAGAUAUUGCUGAUACUUUAUGUAUCCUGUUUAUUGUCUAGCUUUCUUCUUACCUUGGUGUAGGAUGUUAGAACUAUACUUCGCUCUGAUUUCUUAGUUGAUAGUUAUUUCACUUCUUCUAUAUUGUCCCACUACUGGCUUUUACUUCCGCUUUUAUUCGUAGACCUUAUGAUGUGUUUAGACAUUGUGAGUCUAGCACGCUACGGAGGGCCUCGCGCUCCGGGCAUGACAGAAUUAUUUGGUAUAGAGCUAGGGUUGAGUCUUAGUGACUUGAGGAACUUUGGCCGGUUGGACUAUAGGACCUUAGGGCUCGGUGAAGACGAAGUAAUUGACUGUGUGGAGCCGAAAGUUUUAUGAAUUGGUUUAUGAAACUCUCAAAAGUUUAGAGUGCUGUCGGCAGUGUUCGGCUUCUAACUUCGGCGGAGGGUUACGUUGGCGCCGACACGUAAAACAUCGCGGAGUUAGUAGUGAAGGACACUUCUUACUUCGCAUAGAUAUUGGGUUUUAUCUAUUGGAGCGGGGAUGCGAUAGGUGGAGUUCUAACUUGCGCUUUUAUAUUUUGUGUGACGAUGCGAUUACACGCUUUCCCAGUCUAGCCGGAGCGGAUGAUGGCGGCACACCCCGAGGGGAGGUCGAGCCCUCCGCUACUUCCGGAUCUAGUGAGGUCCGUGACCUGAGGGCCACUGCGGGUUCUCACUUAUUGUUGCGCAGCAUGACGGCAGCGAGCGCGUGACAGCCGAGGGUAGCCUCAGCUGGGGCAGGAGGCGCGGUGUCAUGUCCGAGCGACCUGGCUACUUCACAGGCGGCGCUUGAGGAGACCCAGGGUCCCACGCCGCCUCCCUAGUGGACGUCGCCUGAGGGGCGCAGUCCCCCGCGCCCAGUUCUCCGCGUGCGGCACGGCGCACCGCAACCUCAGGAGAGGUGGUUGCGCACUACCUAGUUCAGGGGACGGCGACCGGGCGCAUUCCCGUGAUGGCCGAGGUGAGCCGAGCGGAUCGCUCAUGAGCGCCUCGGGUAGUUCGAGGAGUGCAGCCCAGGGAGUUUGUGGCGAGAACGUCACCACGUUGGAUUGAGUCGAAAAUGUGGUUGAUGCAUAUGGAAAGAUGUUUCGCAGAACCUUUGUGAGGAGCGGACAGGUUUGGCGUCGCCACUCACUUUUCUGGACGGCAGGCCUACCGUUUGGUGGUUGGAGAUCCAGCGACAACCCCAACCACAGAUUUGGCAGCGAUUUACUUGGACUAGGUGCAAGGAGUGUCUUUUGGCGACACCACUUUCUACACAGCGUCAAGAGCGAAGAUGGAGCAGUGAUUUCACAGCUUGUGACCAGGUAUUAGCGGUCGAGUGGCUGAGUACGAGGGGGUUACAUCUCGGAUACCUAUCAUGCGUACCGUUUGUUGAGGGACGACGAGACAAGGCCUGCCAUUUUUUAGCCGCGGUGGUGCGGACCAUUGCUAUCUUGCCGGUUGGAGCGUCAUGCGAGAGCUUGUAGAAGAGGGAAAGGCAGAGGGCCGGCGGUGAGGGUGCGAGUCAGGACGCCACUCAAGGAGGCCGCCGAUGGCAUCCCAGGAGGCAGGAGCGUAGUCGCGAGGACGCGGCCAGUCUACCAGCGAGGAGGACCGAUCGUCGCCAGGCCCCCCGCUGCGUGAAUCGCAUGUCGCGUCCUGCAGACCCGCAGGCAGUUACGCAGCAGGCGGCAGGUGCUUCUGGUGUGGCCAGGAGCGGUCAUCAAGUUCGGACUGCGAGGAGGUCCAUUGCCAGCGCGCACUUCGGCAUCUGCACCAGCUGGCCAUGGUCCAGCCAGGGACUUCUUCUGCGCAUCACCAAGCGAGGACGCCGCCAGUUCUGCGACAGGCCGAGGUGUCAUGAACAGGCCCGAGCGGCCGCAUGUACGCGGACCUAGACUGAUGGAAGCGGCGGCAGCCGAGAAUGUGGUCGCAGGCUAUCAUUUUACUUUUGGUACUCGAGCUUAGAGCUUUGUUUGAUACCGGGCAUCGCAUUCAUUCAUUUGUCGGCUGUUUGCCGAAGCUGCAUGCUUCCAUUGUAUCUUUGCUUCAUACGGGCCGGUGUUGGACUCGAUCAUUCUUGCGACAUUUCCGGGAAUUUUUGUCCCAGUUGCCCUAUUAGGUCGUUGAGAUUGGAUCAUACCCGAUGAACUGUUUAGCGUUGCAUAAACUCUGGGAGUUUAGAUGUUGUGCUUGGGCAAUGGUAUUGGUUGACUAAGUAUUCUCCACUUCGAUUGUAAGGGAUCAACUGGUGAUUAUAGGGCCAGGCAGGCGCGAGGUUGUGUACGGGAUGCCAGAGUUUCGCAUGUUUGCGAUGUACGAUUAGGCUCCUUCUCGCAGCUAGGCAGUUGAUUAGGUAGAGGUGCCGUAACCUAUUUGGUACAUGUGUUGUUGCGGGUGGAGGGAGAACGCGCCCUAGGAUGAGGAUAUCCCGUAUGCGGAGUUUGGCGAUGUGUUUUCCAGCGGAGCUGCCAGGCAUGCCUCGAUAGUGGAAUUAGUUUGUGUGUAGAUUCUCGUCCCCGGCUACCAAUCUCAAAGCGCCUAUUAGGAUGGCGACCAGCAGAGUUGAAGACGAGACUGAAGCACAGCAUGAGGAUUUUUGGACAAGGCGUUUUGUGCGACAUAGCGUGUCACCGCUGGGUAGCACGGUCUUAUUUGGCAAGAAGAAGAAUUGGAUCACUUCGUUUGUGUUGGGGAUAUAUCGUGAACGGUAAUAAAGUCACUACUAGAACAAGUAUCCAUUACAGAGGAUUGAUGAUCUAUUUUGAUCAGCUCAGGGAUCUUGUGUAUAUUCCGAUAUUGACUUGAGUGGAUAUCACCAGUAGUAGGGAUCAGACCUGAGGAUUGGUCGAAACGGCUUUGAACAACGGAUAUGAGACAUUAAUGAGUUUUACAAGCUUAUGUUUCCGGUUGGGUUACUUAAUGCCGGCAGCCUUUAUUGGAGCUGGAUGCAACCGUGUUUUCAAGCCUAUGUAGACAGAUUCAGUACUGUGGUGUUUAUCGACGACAUCUUAGUGUUAGUUCCCGGCAAGUGAGUGGAUCCGAGGAACACUUGAAAGACUUGUUCUUCAAGGUGUUUCGGGAAAAGAAGCUCUACGCCAAGUGUGAAAAGUUGGUGAAUUUUGGCCUUAGAGCAGGUGGCGGUUUUUGGGCCAUUGUGCAUUCAGGAUCGGCAACGGUUGGUACCGAGGAAAAUUGAGAAGCCUAUCAAGGAUUGCGCCGAGGCGCGACGAGCUGACCGAGAUACGCGAGCUUCAUUGGUUUGGCGGCUAUUACGGCGGUUCGUCGAAGGAUUGUGCAAAAUUAUCUACUCCCCUCACUGAGACUCACGCAUAGGGCACCAGUUUAUUUGAUGAUGCGUGUGAAAGGAAGCUUCCAAGAGUUGAGAGAAGCGCAUUGACGACUGCCCCCGAUCCUUACCUUGCCGACUGACAUGGAGCAGGUAUGUGAAUUUAUAGUGAUAUUCCUUUAAUGGAUUGGACUGUGUUUAUUUGGAUGCAGGACAGGGAAAAUGAUCUAGGUGUUGAUCUCGCAAAUUGACAGGAUUAUAAGGAAUACCCCACUCACGGGACUUUGGAGUUGGCGGCCGUGUCUAUUGCAUUGAAUUAUGGUGCCAUUACCUCUAUGGCGACGCGAUGCGAAGUAUAUACGGAUCACAAGAGCUUAACAGUAUCUAUUCACUCAGAAGGAGUUGAACUUGAGGGCCCAGCGCAGAUGGGUUGGAGCUACUCAAGGAUUUAUGACUUCACUAUUCUUUACCACCCGCAAGGCUAACGUGGUGGACAGAUGCACUAAGUCGGAAAUCGACUAAGAACUUAGCGAUGCUUGGUGGUUACUCACCGUCGGUUGAUCGACGAGCAGAUGAAGCGGUUGGAGUUGGAGGUGGUGGCUCUUGUACACCUUUGAGACUGAUGGCUUUGAGCUGGUGCGCCAACCUACACUAUUGGAAGAAUUAAAGAAAGCAAGCUGCCGACUCGACAGUUUGCAAAAGGUUCGAACUUAAGAUGGUGAUGGAUUGCCACCGGUGAUUCACUUUGACGGUGAUGGAUUGAUGCGUUUCCGUGCGACGACUUUGAUGUUGACCGGCGGACUUGGGGCAUUAAGAGGAUACUUCUUCAAAGAAGGCACACCGGAGCCAAAACCGUAUGCUUUAACAUCCGGACACGCCACCAAGUGUACAAGGACCUUGAAGUUGCUUGAUGGUGGCCGGGUAUGAAAAAGAAUGUUGAUGAGUUGCGUUGCUUAGAUGUUUAACUUGGCCAACAGGGUGUAGUGAAGGCCCUGAGCAGGGCAGUCUCCUGCCAGAAGCUGCAAGGUACCGUAUUCCAGCUGUGGAGUUGGGAAAAAGGUCACUAUGGAUUUGUGAUGGGGAUUGCCUCGCUCACAGGACCGGGACAUGGACGGCGUAUUGGAGUGAUCGUUGAUGAUUGACGAAAUCGGCCACAUUUCAUACCUUUCACACUUACUUGGGAUUGUGAGAGAGUCGCAAGGUUUAUUUGGACGAAGAUUGUGCGUUUACACGGCGGGUACCAUAAUUCUAAUAGAUAUCGAUCGGACCCCCGUUUUGUAUCCCAUUUUGGAGGAGAUUUACAGGACGCUCUGGUGUACUGCGUUUGGACUUCAGUACAGCUUUCCACCCCAGAGUGCAGGGCAGAAAAGUAGUCAGAGGUUACUAUACAGACUCACGAGGACAUGCUUCGAGCGCUGCGGUGAUCGAUCCAGGGAGGAUGGUCCGCAGCAUCUACCGAUGGCAGAGUUUGCUUAUAACAACAGUUAUCAAGCAAGUAUCAAGAUGGCACCGUUCGAGGCACUCUAUGGACGGAAGUGUAGGUCGCCGCUUCAUUGGAGUGAAGUUGGCGAGAGAUUGGCUUUAGGCCCAGAUGUGCUCCAGGAAGCGGAGGACAAGGUUCGCAUCGCUCGGGAGCGAUUGUUGACGGCCCAGAGUAGGCAGAGGAGUUAUGCUGACAAGCGGCGACGAGACUUGGAGUUUCAGAUUGGAGAUCACGUCUUCUUGAAAGUCUUGCCGACUCGAGGAAUUAGACGAUUUGGAAUCCGGGGCAAGUUGAGCCCCCGAUAUAUUGGACCGUAUGAGGUUUUGGAGCGUGUAGGCCCGAUAGCGUAUAGGCUUGCCCUACCGCCGAACCUAUCGGGUGUACACAAUGUAUUCCAUGUAUCGGUCCUUCGAAAGUACAUCCACGACCCGGCUCAUGUAUUGGAUGCUACACCUAUGGAGCUGCGGGAGGAUUUGAGCUAUGAGGAGGAACCCUUGAGAAUUUUGGCUCGCGAGGUGAAAAGAUUGCGAAACCGGAAAAUUCCCUACGUAAAGGUGCUUUGGAGCAACCAUGACGAGCGCGAGGCCACUUGGGAGUUAGAGAGCGCACUGCGGGAGCGCUACCCCCAUCUUUUUCAGAUAGAAGCUUGAGGUACUUUAUUUGUUUUGAGUUUCGCGGACGAAACUCCUUUUAGGAGAGGUGAAUGUAACACACAGGACCUUUACAAAUUGCGAGGUUCGAGUGAUUGGCCGUGUUCUAAGCUUUUCCAGAUUUUCUGAUGGGUCGUUGACUGUGUUCCGACCUAUGGCACGUGUCCCGAGAUUUGCGGUACAAAGCCUUGCACCAAAACCCGAAAAAAGGGGAUUUGGCUGACUCUCGGAUUGAGUUCUGGCAAGCUUGUACCGGUACAAAGCCGCAGAGCCCAGCAACCCGAGCCUCGGGUUUGGAUUUCGUGGACCUUGUACCCGUACAAGGGCCCGUGUACCGGUACAAGGCGGCAGAUUUUGAGCAGUUCGAAACUGCAAGGGCUUUUUCGCGAUUGUAGCCUCUCUAUAACAGCACCCUCGCCCCUUAGGGCUUUUCUUGUGCUGGAACCAUAGGGAAACAAGGUGAGGAGCCCAUCCAUUUCCUCAUUUUGAUUUUCCUUGGUUAUAUUGGAGAUUUUUGAGGAUUAAUGCCUCAUUUUGCUUCUUGUUGCAUCUUGGAGGCUUUUUCCACCAUUGGAGAGGACUUGGAGCUUUGUUGGAGGCUUGUUGGAGGAAAGAUCUUCCACCCCAUUUGAUUUGGAGCCCAAGUUGAGACUUCUAGAGAGGUUAGCAACAUGAUUUGAGCUUUUGAUCCAUGUUUUGCUAAGUUUUUGAGAUGAAACCCUAGAUUUGAUACUUAGGGCUUAUUUUGGGUAUUUUGAAUCUAGGGCUUUUGGGGCUAAAUUAGUUGGUUUAGAACCUUCCUUGGGCUUGGAGUGGAAGGGUUCUAGCUCUCUUUUAGAGCUUUGGAAGAGAUUUCUUCUCUUGAGGUGAGAUUUGACCCCUUUUGCUUCUAGGUUAAUGUUUGAUAUUAUAAGAUGAUCGUAAUGCCCGUGUAUCUUGUCGCUCAAUACUUUUAGGGUAUUUUGAGACUCGGGGACAACUUUGUUCGGCGAAACGAGGCACUACGCGACGGUUCGGUGGGUUUGACCUAGCCUAUAUAUGAGAAAUUCUCAUAUAUGGUUAUAUAUGUUCCGUAAAUUGAAAAAGCAUGCAUGUUCAUACUAAAUGUAUUUAUUAUGAUUUUUAGAAUGCUUAAAAUGCAUAUGUUACAUAUGAUGAAAUUUUGGACCUCUAUGUAGUAGAGAGUUGCUUGGGAGAUCUAUGGUUGCAUUUAGCAUUCUUUAUGAGACUUGGUUCCAUGCUUCUAUAGUGUAAAUGAGUUCGGAUUCAUGCAUUUAAACUUAAGUUUACUUGUGACAUGAAAGAUGACAAAAUUGCCAUUUAGAAGGUGUGUGAACUAGAGAGCUAAUGUCAUCAAGCGGCAUUGAGCUCGGGACAUGUGUGAACCUAGUGGAUAGGGCCAUUGAGGAAUGUGGAACAUGCUUAAACAUUAAAUGUCUAAGUGUCAUAAAGGGGCACUAGACCUAGAGAAUGUUGGAACUUCAUUUGUGACUUAGAACUAGAUCUUCGAGAUGCUAGUGACUAUACCAUGUUAGAGACAUGAGGGUUGGAUACUUGAGACUUGGACUAUGCUUGCUUGCCAUUUGUGCUCAUUCGCACAUGCUUGUGAGGGUCGCUCCCUACAAGCCGGCACUCCGGAGUUAGCCUACGCGACUUAUGUUCGCUCGUGCGGUAUUGAGAAGCCUACGGGGUCGAGUGGGACAGACACAUUCCAAGAGUAGGGAUGUUGGGCUACCACAGGCACUUAGGCGGCACAAGCUGGACUACCUUUGGUAGGUCCUUAAUUGGAAAUGGAAAUCGACACGGUGUUGAGAAUGGUUAAUCACUACUAGAUAGGUUUAGUAGUUGAAUUACAUUUAUAUGCUUUUAGCAUAGUGUUGAGACAUGUAGUAUACUUGAUAGUCUCCUUUUGCAUUAAAGCAUACUUGGUUGCCAUGACAGAACUUAUGCAUAAUGUAUUCAUAAAGGUUAAUGACUUACUAUUUUGAUAUCGUAGAUGUACAUCACCAUGACAUCGUUUAUACUUGAGUUUAGUAAUUUAGCAUUUUAAUUAUGCCUUUAUAUCGCAGUCAUUAUUGCUAUUAUUAUUGUACUUACCCUUUUCUUUUGGGGCCUAGUGGUGCAUAGAGCUGAGGUCAGUAAUUGCCCACUGGGAACUAUAAAUUAUAGUUCUCACGCCCUCUUUUUCUCGAUGUUUUUCAGAGCCUUCCACGCAGGGUGAGGCAAGGGAUCGCGGGAAGGGAGUUGCUUCGAGCUAGCUUCCUUCGAGGACGAGUUGCCAGGUGGUCUACCUCUCGAUUUAUAUUUCUUUUGCGAGAGGUUGAGAGUUUUACCAGUGUACUAGAGACCACCACUUUUGUAAUUUUGAGACAGAUAUUGUACUACUUAUGACUCCUUUUAUUGUCUAGCUUUACUUCUUUACUUUGGUGUAGAUGUUAGAACUAUACUCGCUCUGAUAUCAUUAGUUGCUAGUUAUUUCACUUAUUCUAUUUGUCCCACUACUUGCUUUUACUUCCGCUUUUAUUGUAGACGCCUUAUAUGUGUAGACAUAUGGCGGGUCUGGGCACGCUACCGGGAGGGCCUCCGUCGGUCCCGGGGCGUGACACAUAGCAAAUAUGAUCAUAUCCUUAACUCAAAGGAUUUAUAAGUUCAAUCUUGACUUUACACUAGCUCUAGUGUUCUUUCAUCACUUUUUGUUGCAAACUCAUGUACACAUUCUUUACAAUUCUUUACCUUUGCUAACUCUAGCAAUCGUAUUCUUUACAUUCUUUACUUUUGGCUACAUCUAGCAUUUCAUGUUCUUUACUCCCUACAUUACUUUAACUUUAAACAUUGUCAUUUUCAUCAUUCCUUACAUUACAUUGGUUCUUUACCUCACACUAUCUCUAGUGUCAUUUCACUUUAACUUUAUCGAAUGUCACUCGAUCUAUGUCAUUGUGUCACUCUGUUCUUUUGCUCACUUUGGGUGCUCACUUUUCUCUCAUGCAUACACAUAGGGUUUUUGACGUUCACAUAGUUCUCAUUCAUCAUAUUAUGCAAGUUGUACUCACAAUCAUGCAUCAUCACAUUUUCAUCAUUACUUUAUCCUAAAAUGCAUGCAACAAUAUAUAUACACAUGCUCAAAUGAAUGACACAUUAGGCAUAGAGAGAAGUUCAAUGAGUUUGAGAAGCACCACCCACCUCGUAGGCUUUCAAAGGUGCUCCGAUGAUUUUGUUGGGAUUUUUAGACCUUUCGUUCUUUACCUGCGGCAAAACGAAGCCCUAUUAGGACAUUUUGCUCAUAUCUUUACAUCGGCUUUUCAUAACAUUUUUCCGAGCGCACCAACACGUCGGAAAUACCCCCAAUUAGGUUUCUAGAGGGUCAAUUGCACUUAGAANACCUCGUAGGCUUUCAAAGGUGCUCCGAUGAUUUUGUUGGGAUUUUUAGACCUUUCGUUCUUUACCUGCGGCAAAACGAAGCCCUAUUAGGACAUUUUGCUCAUAUCUUUACAUCGGCUUUUCAUAACAUUUUUCCGAGCGCACCAACACGUCGGAAAUACCCCCAAUUAGGUUUCUAGAGGGUCAAUUGCACUUAGAAAUCUCCAUGAGCAAAAGCCCCAAUUUGGGUGGCCUAGCUCCAUAGCAUCAUCAAACCUAGGGUUUGAUCUCAAAGAGGAGUAAAAGUAGAUUCAAUAUACUCUAAAGAGUCCAUUAGAACCAUUCUUAGCUCACUCCAAACUCUAGUUUGGAUUUCACCAUGAGAGGUGGGUUGAAGCUCACCUUUGAGCUUUUCUAGGUUUUGAUCUUUAAAGAAGCAAAAGAAAGCUUCAAAACUCUUCAAACAUUCCAUUAAAACCCAUUUCUAGGUCAUUCAAAACUCAUUCUAGGGUUUUACUAUACUAAGGAUCAAAGCUUACCUCAAAGUUUUCCCUAAGAUGCACCAAGGAGGAAGAAGAAGAGGUAGGCUCACUACUUGAUCUUCUUCUUCACCUUCUUUUCCUUCUUUCCUUUCCUUUAUUUCCUUCUUCUUCUUCUCCUUUGCUUUCUAGAGAGAGAGAGAGGGAGAGAAGAGAGUGUGUGUGAGGGAGAGAAUGAGAGAAAAGGCUCUCUCAGCCCUCAACAUAACUCAUGGGUUGCAAAAUUGCAGCCAAGCCCCUCAACUUUCAUCUUAUUCAACUGCCUAGACUAGGCAGAUUUCGGGUUCGGGGACCGGUCUUCCCGACUAGGGACCAGUCUCCGAGAGCUCUCCCAGCGCAGCCAGAGCUGCUACGCGUAAUGCGACCGGUCUCUCCUUUGGGGGACCGGUCUCUCAGGCAGGGACCGAUUCCCGAGAGCUGGUUUCUCAGGACUUAGCCAUUUUCCCUCAUUUCUCAUUUUUCACGCGUUCGGGGACCGGUCUCUCCUUCAGGGAUCGGUCCCCGAGAGCUGAAAACCUGCAGAAUGCAUAUUUCACAAUUUUAGCUCUCGAAAACCUCCCGUAACUCACUUUUGAUCAUUUUAACACCUUCGGACUUUCCAAAGUGUUCCAACCUCGCACUUUGGUCAAUUUGACUAAAAUUCGAUAUUUAUUUUUCGAAUUCUCUGUAUAUUACAUGUAUAAAGCAAAGAGGAUUUCUUUGCAUGGUGGUAAUGCACUUUCGGACUUACACAUGGCAAAUGUGAGUGAAAAUUGGUCUUAUAUCGUCCAUAGUGGACCUUUAAAUAGUUCCAAUGAGUGAAAAGGCACACUAAGAUGCAAGAAUGCAUUGGAACCCUAUGUUGCUCUGUGACACACUGGACCUUUGCAAAUUGCGAGGUUCGAGUGAUUGGAUGUGUUUCUAGCUUUUCCACACUUGGUGGAAGGUCGUAGAAUGUUUUCCGAUCUAAAAAGUUUGAAAACCUGGGUUUUGGACGAGUCCUGAGAGUUUUUACUCUCGGGGACCGGUCCCUGAUAGGAGAGACCGGUCCCCCAGUGAGCAGUGUUGCGUAGCCGGCGAGGCAACCGGUCCUUGGCGGGCUAGACCGGUCCCCGAGCGCGUCCGCGCGGGGAGAGACCGGUCCCGCGCGGGGAGAGACCGGUUCCCGAACGUUGGUUUUUCGGGUUCGACACGAGAGACCGGUCCCUUACAGGGAUAGACCGGUCCCUCUGGGCAAAAAACUGUCCAGACCUGGCUGAUGUAAUAUUGGAUUUUUGAGGAGCCUCUUUGUAUUUUGUUACACUAGAGGGCAUAUAUGGCUACUUCCUCUUCUCUUAUCCCUCAUUUCACCAUUCCCUUUGCUCCUAGAGAGAGAAGAAGAAGAAGGAGAGGAAGAAGAAGAAGGAGAGAGCUUGUUGGAGGCUUGGAACUUCACCCACACCCUCUCUUCUUCCUCUUGGUGGCUUGGAGCUUGGAUUUGGAGCAUAGUUGAGGAAAGAUCUUGGAACCUUGAGGGUUUUGAACCUAGAUUAAAGCUUCUAAGAGGUAAGCAACUUGUUUUUCUCCAAGAUUUCUUGAUCGGUAGGUUUUUACCAUAUGGAACCCUAGAAUGGGAUUUUAGGGUUGAUUUUGGGGCUUUUUGAUUUAGGGCUUUUGAGGCUAGAUUUCUUGGAUUAGAACCCUCCUUUGGGUUAGAUUGGAAGGAUCCUAGCCUUCUUUUGGAGCUUGAAAGAGAAUUUCUACUCCCUAGGUAAGUUUUGCCCUUUUCGUGUGAUUGUUAAUGUUUGAGCCUAGAGUUACUUGUAACGCUUGUGUAUCUCUUCGCUCAUUACUUUUAGGGUAUUUUGAGACUCGUGGACAACUCCGUUCGGCGAAACAAAGGACUACGCGACGGUUCGGUGGGUUUGACCUAGCCACACAAUGAGAAAAUCUCAUUUGUGAUGAUUUGAGUACCGUUAAAUGAAAAAGCAUGCAUAAUCAUGUAAGAUAUAUUAUGAAUUUUAGAAUGCUUAACAUGCAUAUGUAUUGUAUAGUAAAUUUUGGACCUCUUUAUAGUAGAGAGCUUGCAUGUGGGACAUAGCAUUCUAGUUGAGAUUUCGGACCAUGAUUCCUAUUAUGAAAAUGAACAUCGCUUUCAUGCAUUUAACCUUUAUUCCCAAUUGUGACUUGAGGACCUUGGAGGCCUAGAGAGGCUUGGGGACUUAGACUAUUUAAGAAUUUGGGCCAAUGUCACAAAGAGGCAUUGGGCUCGGGCUAUAGUGAACAUUGGUAUUAAUGUCUUAAUUGGAACUUAGAACAUGAUUGGGACUUGAUUAGUUGUGAUGCUUAAGUGUCAUAAAGAGGCACUAAGCAAGUGAGUGUUUGGAUAUCACUUUGUGACAUGGAGCUAGACCGUUGGGUUACUAGUAGCUAUUGCCAUGAUUGAGACAUGAGGGUUGGAUACUUGAGCCUUUGACUACGCUUGUUUGCCAUUUGUGCUCAUCGCACAUGCUUGUGAGGGUCGCUCUCUACAAGUCGGCACUCCGGAGUUAGCCUACGCGACCUAUAUUCGCUCGUGCGGUAUUGAGAAGCCUACGGGGUCGAGUGGGACAGACACAUUCCAAGAGUAGGAAUGUUGGGCUACCACAGGCACUUAGGCGGCACAAGCUGGACUAUCUUGGGUAGGUCCUUAUAUGGAAAUGGAAAUCGACACGGUGUUGUGCUUGAUAUAAUCACUACUAAAUAGAGAAUAGUAGUUGGAUUACUUGAACUUGCUUAUAGCAUAGUUUUGGACACUUGAGUAUACUAUGUACAUGCAGCAUACUAGGAACUACAAGAAAAUGAUUUAUAAGUGACGGUAAAAAAUUGUCACUAAAAAUAAAAAUUUUGUCACUAACAGUUUUAGUGACGAUAAAUACCGUCACUAUAAGUUGUCACGGUAGGUCCCGUGGCAAAUAGAUUUUGUGAUGGAAAAAAAAUAUUGUCACUAAAAAUAGUAUUAAUGACAAGUUAAUUUUGUCACUAAAUAUUAGCUAUUUGUCACCAAAUAAUAUUUACGAAAUGGUUGAAUAGUAAAAAUAGUAAUCUUAGGUGACAACAUAUGCNAGUCCUUCAUUUUUGUGACUAUUUUUUUUUCAUUUUGUAACUAAAAAUAUUUUUGGUGACAUACGAAAUUCAAAUCCGUAGCAAAUGCAUUACUUUUUUGUAGUGAGAUACUGCUUAUUGCAUUCAUGUAAAUAUUGUUUACCAUAGUAGAGCAUGAUCUUCAUAAUUUCAUAAAGCAAAUCGUGAAUGAUACUUGUGGUUAUUUAGGGACGUACUUGUUCAUAAGGAAAUAAAUGUGCAUCUUAAUUGACUCAAUGUUGUACCUUAGCAUUUUAAUCAUGCUUUCAUAAACGCAAUUAUCUCAUUACUAUUGCCUUGUUGACUUCCCUUUCUCUUUUGGGGCCUAGUGGUGCAUUGAGCUGAGGUCAGUAAUUACCCACUGGGAACUAUAAAUUAUAGUUCUCACGCCCUCUGUUUUAUGUCUUCUUUCAGAGCCUUCGGCACCGGCGGAGGCACGGGAUCGCGGCAAAGGAGUCGCGUAGAUAGCUAGCAGGGAGCACUUGUGAGCGUAGGUGGCUACUCUUUCUUUUUGUAUUAGAGACAGAGAGAGAGAGAUUUUGUGAACCAUGUGUAGAGAGACAACCUGUAUACUCUUGAUAUUUAGUUUUGUAUUUGGGAUUUUCUUUGUACUACUCUAUGGCUUUAUUUUUAGAUUUCAGUUUCAUACUUACUCUUCUGUGCAGAACCUAGAUAUCUAUUUUGCUCUGAUAUCUCUAGUUAUAGAUUUCCUUGGUUUUAUUUUCUGCUGUUGUUGUAGACGCCUUAUAUGUGUAGACAUAUGGCGGGUCUGGGCAUGCUACCGGGAGGGCCUCUGCCGGUCCUGGGGCGUGACAUGCUCGAUAAGUCGAGUUGAGUUGAAUUGGGUUUGAAGUAAGUUAGUUUCGAGGACGAAACUUUUUUUUAGGAGGGGAGGAUGUAAGGUACCGGACUCCCACAUCAUGAGGUUACGGUGUACAUUUGGUUGGAAAGCCAUUUGGAUCGCCCCGGUGAAGUUCGGUGAAGUUUGGAAGCAUUCGGGCGUUUCGAUGUGCAUAGGCGCGGAAACGAGACCCAAAAGGCUAUGUCGGUCCGUGAGCUAAAUCCGGCGUUAGCGUGGAUGAAAAGAUGAUGAAAACAUACUCGAAAACAUGUUUGGAGAGUCUCGGUUCGAUUUGAGACGAAUCGGAGGUCAAACGAGCGAAAACGAGCGUAAACGAACCCCGAAAGCUGAAAAAGCUGAAAAUUUGGCUAAGUCUGGAAUGUUGUUUUUCUGGACCUUCGGGGACCGGUCUCUCACUGCCUGGGACCGGUCCCAGCACGCGAAAAUGGCCCAGUUUGGGCUGUGCACAACUAAUAUUGUUGAGGGGCCUUUGUGCAAAUGUGCAGACUGUAUAGAGAGAGUUGGGGGCUCAUUUUCUCUCUAUCUCCCUCACAUUGCAACCAAAAGCUCUCCCUCUCUCUCUUUCUAAGUGCUCUUCUUCUCUCUCUAAAAGGUGAUGGAGGAGAGGAUUUUGGUGGAGAUCAAGAUCAAGAGAAGAGAUUUCUUCUUCUUCUUCUCCUCCUUCCUUGGCUAGUAGCAAGCUUGUUGAGGUAGGCUUCAAAAUCCUUUAAUGGAAUCUCUCUAUAGCUUAGGUUCUAAGCUCUAAGAAUGGAUUUAGUAGCUUUCCUGGGUGCUAAUUAGAUGGAUUAUGCUUGAAUCCAAAGCUCUAAUGGUGGAUUCUCACCUAGUUGUAAACCUAGGGCUUGAAAUGGAUUUCUUGGUAGAUCAUGGGUUUUGAUCUCUAGAAAUGGUAUUUUUGGAAUCCUAGGAUGCUAAUGAGAUAACUAUUGCCUAAAUCUUGGAUUGAUUUGGGGUAUUUAGCAAUANGGGUUUUGAUCUCUAGAAAUGGUAUUUUUGGAAUCCUAGGAUGCUAAUGAGAUAACUAUUGCCUAAAUCUUGGAUUGAUUUGGGGUAUUUAGCAAUAAAGGCAUUUAGGGCUUCAAAAAUAGGGUUUUCGUAAAUAGUUGGGUUUGAUCUCUAUUAACCCUCUGUAAAUCUAAUUGAUAGGUCCCCGAAUGCGUUCGUGCAGUCGGUUUGGCAAUCCGUCGAGCCAUUACAAAGAUAUUGAAGAAACGGACCUUCCGGCAUUCGUUUCCGCCUGGAGGGCCGAGGCGGCGUCCAUAAAUCGCAGGGUUGGAUUCCGAGUGUUGUAGCAAGAAACCAAAGACCUUUAAUACCGGAUCGCGGAUUGGAGGUCGUUUGGUGGUCGCGCAUGGAUUGGGUCAAGCCGAGCGGCGGGUGCCGCGGGAAGCCGAUUGCAAGUGACGACGAGCAAUCGGAACGCUAUAACAGGUGGGUGGCGCCAUCCCGAAGCAGUCGAACUGCUCCCUAUGUCUAAGUUUCAUGUUGAUCAAAUUGCAUAUCGAUGCCUUGCAUUAUAUGGUGAUAGUUGAUGGUUGGUCCUAUAUAUAUAUUGCAUGCUUCUUGGUAGAGUAAUGUAUGUGGUUAAGCACUUGUAUCUAGCAUGCUUGAGGUUAAUAUAUGUGAUGUGAAAUCCUAUAAUGAGAUGAUUAAGUAUGGAUGAGAACUUUGUAAUGNAUCUAGCAUGCUUGAGGUUAAUAUAUGUGAUGUGAAAUCCUAUAAUGAGAUGAUUAAGUAUGGAUGAGAACUUUGUAAUGCAUUGGUUAUUGUAUUGAAAACUCUAAUCGUCAUUGAUCAAGUUACCUAUUGUGAUAUUGCAUUAUAGGGUGCUAGUUGGUAAUGGUUACAUGUUAUAGCAUGCUAGCAGUAGUGUAGUGUUAAUUGAUUAAUACUUGUACCUAGUAUGCAUGGGAUUGAGACAUAGUAUUGUGAAACCCUAUAAUGGCAUGAUCAAUGUGGAUUAAACUCUAGUUGGAUGACAACCUAGUGAACAUAUGCAAGCACAGUAUUGAGAACCUUAAACUGUGAUGAGUGGCAUCUAGUUAACAUUAAACAUGAGAACCUUAGUGUAGUCGAAGCAUAAUAAGAUUGAGUACUAGAAUACCUGAUUCUAUGAUGACACCAACCUUAGUUGGUAGGAUGUUUCCAGUUCAUGAGAUUGGAUCGAGCUCACACAGCCUGUCUGUGCCUUGUUGUCACUCCACCCAGGUAGUGCACUUCGGAGAUUGUCACUCUAGGGGGGGCCAUUGUAGUUGCCCUUGGACCAUCGUAGCUGUCUACAGGCGGUCUCGGGGGUAGUCAAGCAGUUAGACUCCUCCCCUAUGAGACUUACACACGUGAGACUGAGAGCGAACCUCAGUUUAGCCGAGAGAUUGGGUGAUCUAAUGAAUAACUUCAUUGUCGAACAUAGUAGACUAGUAGUCAGCCUUUAUUAUGAUUAUCAUGCAUGCAUUACAUUGGAUUGAGGCAUAGUUAGAUAUUUGCAUUCGUACUUGCUUUAUUACAAUUGUUGCCUUCAAUUAUACCUAUCUAUCUAUCUAUUGUCUUUCUAUGCCUCCUUAGACCUAGUGGGGAGAUCGGCGGAGUCGGCGGCCGAACCCACUGGGAACUAUGGAAGAUAGUUCUCAUGUCACGCCCCGCCCUGAGACCGCUACCAAUUUGGUUCGGUUCGGGCGCGCCAGACGGACGCCGAACGGACAGCACCUCCCCUGUGCGCCCAAGGCUCAACACAGGAUCAUAUACAAAGAAUUUGCCCAGGGAUAAUUCAAUACAUACACGAUCCAAUAAGGAGAGAAGCACAAAGAGUGCAAUACAACAAGAGCAAGUAACACAAGUAUACAUACAAGUGCAUAAAGAGAGAUAAAUCUAGCUAUUACAUCACAUUCCACUUUUACAUCUUUGAUUACAUUUACAUUUUCAUCAUCACCCAAAAUGAAUACAUAUUCCACUCACAUGCAUCUAGGUACAAUGUACUCUCCAAAAUACAACCAUGUCACCUAUGUACACGAGGGUACUCUAGUACAAAAGGAAAGCCACAACUAGCUAGCUAGGGCGCUACGCCCUUACCGCGAUCCUCCCCCGGAACGCUCGCACUCGGCCCUGCAACAAGAUGGGGUGAGAACUAUAUAAAUAUAGUUCCCAGUGGGUUCGGCUGCCGACUCCGCCGAUCU
rnacentral:lncRNA from 1 species